CCAGGUGGAUCCUGGAAAGGGAGAAAAGUCAAAUUAGACGUGGCUUAACAUACUCAUGGUAGCUAAACUUUAGAACAAUGUGGCUUAACAUACUCUGGAUAGCAAAAUUUAGAACGAUAAAAUGUAGAAUACCAGUAAUAGUCACUGUACUUAGCACUCUGUAUAUGAUGACCACUUUUAUAAACUAGCCAGUGUCUAUUGGCAGUGUGAAACUGUGAACUGUGUGUUUAGGUUUCUGUCCCCAUUUUCUGCAUACAACCCCUAAAAUUCCUGGAAUCUCCAAAAUGAAAAUAUAUUCUUGUAUGGCAAUGACUAAGUAAGAGCUUGCUACCUGUAGGUAGUUUCAGGGUGGGGAUUAGUCACCAGAAAGAAUAAAGCAGUCUUUAAAGGGUUAGUACCUUCUGACUUCUAUCCCCAGCCUCCCACAAGAGGGGUGAGGCAAGACAGAAGGUUAAAUUGAUGAUCAAUCAAUGGCCAAGAUUCUAAUCAAUCAUGCAUGUAUAAUAAAGUCUUCAUAAACAAAAAAACAAACUUCAAGAGGAGAAGUUUCCUGGUGCUUCUGGGUAGCUGAACACCAGAAGGACAAGGGACUCACCUUCCUUCUUAUGUUGUCCUGUGGGGGUCUUCACCUGUGGCCUUGUAACCUUUAUAAAUAAGCCAGGAAAUAGAUAAGUGCCUCCCUAAAUUCUGUGAGCCACUCUAGCAUACUAAAUCAGAAGAGGGUAUUUACAGCCAGUUGGUCAGACUUGUGGCCGGACUGACCUUAAGAAUAAGACCUGGGGUUAUCUCCUCACAGUGUCAGGGUUUAAUUGAGUUGAACUAGAGGACACCCAGCUGUGUGUGCUUUGACAUGUUUGUGUGUCAGUGGAGGAGAUAGAAAAAAUACACACUCUGUGUUGAUUGUGGUGUGAGAACAGAUAAAUGCUUUGUCUUUUCAAGGUAUAAAUUGCCUAUAGUGUUAUCCCCGUUAUACAAAGGGGCUCAACAUUUUAGUCCCUUGCUUAGAUUGCACAGAUAUUAAAUAAUAAAACUGAACUUUGCUUCUGGCAUGCUACACAGCAUUGUUUCGUCAGACUUCAAUGAGAGCAGCUGACCUGCUAGGCCCAGUGUGGAAGACACUGUAUUUACUCGGUGUAGCUUAUUUUGAUAUUCCUUGUCUUGGGUUUCAUUUCUGGCACUAACACAGGACAUUCUUGGAAUGAGAAUAUUUGUCUUUCAGUGUUCCUGCUCUUAGGUCAGAGUUGAGGUCAAUCCAAGAGUUGAUGAUGUCACCACUGAUAAUCAUGCUUCAUACUUUAAAUUUGUGGCUUCAGCACUGGGAACACCAGUUCCAGGAGAGGAAGUGGAGGGCAAGGGGAUUUCCAUCCAGUUGUCAUAGCCCAGGGGAAAGAGUUCUGUACCAAGGGAGGCCCUCAGUAUAGUGGGGCCUGGACCAGACCUGGGGAAUAAAGCCUCUUGGGGAAAGGCAGGUAAACCCUAACCCCAUAAGCCAAAUUAUACUAAUGUUGAGCACACAACAAAGCCCUGCAUGUCCUCAGGCUCAGCCAGAGCCCAGCAUGCUGAAUGCCUUUUUCUGACUGCAAUCCAAGGCUUAGAAGAGUAGCUGCCUGUUGGAGUACCUGCAAGUGCAAAGUGGUCAGAGAUCGGUUCUUCUAAGUUCUCGCAAGCAAAGAGCAUUGCUUACAAAACCACUUGGAACUUCUUCACUGGAUAGUGAGGCUUUUCUGCCCCCAUGACUUGACCUUUACCUCACACCUUCAACAGGCAGGAAUACUUCCUUUCCCUAGGAUGCUCAGCACCAAAGUGUCUCCCUCUGAGUUUGCUGGUCUCUAAGGCGAGGCAACUGUUGUCGUCCCCUUCGUAACUUCGAUGCCCACUUCUCGUACAUAAAAACUAGGGGGUGGUCUCACUAACCAGCGACUAGGCUGAUUUAUUAAAUCCCCUCAGACAGUGAAAUGAAUGUUUGUUAGAGAAGCAAUGAAUUGCAUAUGUUGGAAAGCUGUCUUCAGAGAGAAGCCUAAACCACUUAGCAAAGAAAGAAGAGUUCCAAACAUUUUUUAUAUUAAAGUGGCCCCCAAGCCAGCAAGGUUACAGUUUAUACAGCUGAAGACCGAAUGGGGAAUGCCUACAUAUGGGAAGGGAGAGUGCUGGUUGGUAUUCUUGUCCUGCUGGGUCUUCCCUUUAAAUUAUAUAUGUAUUGUUGUUAUGCUUGCUAAUUACACAGCAUGGGCACAUGCAUUUGACUCAGCUAUAGAGAGCUCUUAAACCUUUAAUGUCUUCCAACAAGGAGCUUAAGAGCUCUAGUCCAUCUAUUCUAGUCCAUUACUCAGGAUGCCAGACAAAUAUGGUUUUGUUCAGCCUGAGAUGGAUGAUAAAAGUUCUGUAGUGUUUAUAAAAUAGGAUCCCAGCUCCAUGGAGCAGCAGGAGUUACACGUUGUUGAUCAUUUGGUAUUGAUGUCUUGGAUCCCAGGGCGGAGUCAUUAAACCCUGAGAUCUUCAUGACUUCCUUAUGGGAAGCAGAGAAACCUCUUUAACAGAGUGGUAUUCAUAAACAGGGGACUGGCAGAAAAUAGAAUCAUCUCUCUUCCACUCCCUCCCUCAGUCCUCUCUUUCUCAAGGAACUCUGUGUGCAGGUUUGAUUCAGAACAGCCUUUCUAGGUUCCUUCCUGACCACUUUUCAUACUAAGAUUUCAUGAGUGAUCCUGGUCUUUGAGAGAAUUCAAUUUCUUUCUUUCUUUCUUUCUUUCUUUCUUUCUUUCUUUCUUUCUUUCUUUCCUUCCUUCAGUUAAGUGGUGGGAUAGUGGUGAGAACAUUCUCAUUCAGAGCCGUCUGUGGAGUGUGUACGUGCUCUGUCACAGUGGCAAAUGUAAGAGUUUAAGGCCUACCUCUAUGAUGGACUUGGGGGCAAAAUUCUUAAUAGUUCAAGGCCUCUGUUUUGUAAUCUGUAAAAUGAAGGAUAAUAAUACCUAGCUCAUGAGAUUGGCAUGAGGAUAGAAAUCAAAAAGAUCUUAGCAUGCAGUAAAGGCCCAAUAAAUAGUAGCAAUGCAAUCAACAAAUACGUACUCAUCAUGGACGGCACCCCACUGUUAAAACUGCGGUAGAUUGAGUGCUGAUGUACUGAUCCUCAAAGUGUGUGACCCAGUGGAGGAACAAGAAAACGGAAACAAAGAUUUACUCAUAAUAAUGGUGGUGGUGGUGGUGGUGGUGUUCAGGUCUAAAUUUUUAAAAUUAUAUUUAUUUAUUGUGUUGAGGGGGCAUUUGCGUUCAAUGGCACUGUAGAUGUCAUAGGACAUCUUGGAGUGAGUGCUUCCCACUGUGUAGGUUUGGGAUUGACCUUGGCUUGGCGGUAUUUGCCUUCACCUACUGAGCCGUUUUACUCUGUGGGGGGGGGAAGGGGGGGUUGAUUUUCUUUUUCUUUUUCUUUUUCUUUUUUCUCUUUCUUUUUUUUUUUUUUUUUUUUUUUUUUUUUUUUUUUUUUUUUACACAUUUAUAAAACCCAGACUGGCUCUUUCUGCUCCUCCUACCAAGUGGCAUUUUCUAUUUUUUUUUAAAUGGGAUAGGUGGAGACAGUUUGAGUGACAAUUAAGGAAGGCCUCUCUGAAAUUUCAUUACUAGUAAUUGAUAAUAUGAACACUACUGUUUAAGGAGCAUUUUGGCUGCAAACAAUGACUAAGGAGUUUUCUGAAUUAUUCACUUAUUUACCAUCCGAGACAAGUGUCAACAUCUCAUUUUCAGCCAAGAAAUAAAGAGGCUGUGUUUAAAGCAGGAAUGGAAAUUCUGGCUGUAGCCUUCAUUUGUCAAAGAGAUUGUAGGAUGGAUUUCCACUGGGAUAAUUAGCCAAAGGAGCAAGGGUUAAUUGAGCUGUGAGUUGCUGUUUAAUCAGUUUUAACACCUGGGUAGGCUGAGCAAGGAGGGCUCCUCCCUUCUUUCUGACUGUUGUGUUAUAGCCAAGGGAGCUUGGAGAACUGAAACAAAGCUAGCUUUGGAAAUGAAAACUAAUUUAUCCUCCUUCCCCUCCCCCGGUUGCCCAGAAAUACAGCCCCUGCCUUAGGUAGCAUGAGUAACAAGCUGAAAUUGUUAGGCCCCUUCUAGAAAGCUUUACCCGACUUCCCCGCUCUGAGCUGGAAGAGCCAAGUAUCUUUGACAUUUCUACAGCACUCAGGAUAUGUUCUUGAAUCCUUUCCUGCUCUUGCCUCUCCAUCAGAUUGUGACCUCAGAGGCUUCACUGUCUCCCCUGAACCUGCACAAUAUCUAACUUUUAGGUGUUCUGCUAGUGUAGGGCUGCCUAUAGGUUUUUGCCACACAGCGUGCGUCACUCCAACAUUUGCAUUUAAAUUCUUUUUACAUGUUAGAAGAACCCUUCCCCUUAGGUUCAAGCUCUUGAUGAACAGAAGCACCAUUUGGCGGUGGACAGAUCAUGAGGAGGACAUCAUUCAGUUGGUGGCUACCCUAAUUCCUAGGUGCUUCCCAAGCCCUGAGAUAGGAUGAGUGGGAAGUGAGUUGGAGGGCUUCAGGUUAGAGAGACGCCUUUCAUGUGGGAUGCCCAGUGUGGUGGAGUUUUAUAGCAGAUAUCCAGCAGGCAGCAGAGCAGUCCAUGGGAGGAUUGAGUUGAAAGUUCUGAUUAGUAAUCUUGCUGCAUUCCCAUCAACUUGCUGUGCCUAGGAUGCUUUUCACAGAGAGAUCCUCAACAGCUCAUGUCUCGAAGCUCAGUGAUGGUGGCAGGGCCAGGGCUAAGCCCUAUUUUGCUCAAAUCCCAAGUCUGCAAAGAAGAUUCUUUCUAUAAAGAAUCCUAGAAUCCGAAGUAGCAAGGAACAGGUCAGUAUAGUAUUUGACUCUUCAGAUGUCAGGUUGGGUCAAACACACAGCAACACUGUUACUUCUUAUAGAUCUUAAUUGUAAAUGGCCUACUAUGUCUAGGUAUCUUAAACUUCUCAGACCAGCCAAUCCUUUCCAGGCUUAGAGAGUGUACAGUGGAGAUGCCAUUAACUUGAAGGCACCAUUAUUCCUACUUUGAAGAGGCAGGGAGGGUGGCUGCCCCAGAGGGGAGUCCUUUACCAAGUUGCAGCUGCUAGAUGAUCAAUAUAUUCAGCUGUAUGGAAAAGCUGAAGGGUUGCCAGAGUGAUGCUCUUUGGUUAAGAGGGGUGAAGGAGCUUGGGAUGCAUGGACAUGCAAGGGAGGGAAAGCUGCAAAAAUUACUUCAAUAAUAGGCCAAUGGUCCUCCAGGUGUUGGGGGAGAGGUGCAGAAGAAUCAACCAAUCCCGUCUCCUUUCUUUCUGGGUAUGCAUACAUGUGUGUGUAUAUGUGGGUGGGUGUGCAUGUGGAAGCCUGAAGUCUUAAACCUCUGGUGUUAUUCUUCAGGUGCUGUCCACCUUGUCUGUUUUGAGACAGUCUCUCUGUGAUGUGGCUAGAGCUUGUUGAAUAGGCUAUGCUGGUUUCAGUGAGCCCUAGUGACCCAGCCUGAGUGAGCCAUCUUCCAGGCCCAGAAGAGCCUUUCUGAAGGGUACAUUGAUUUCCUUAGAGUGCAACAAUGUGUCCAGCUGCCCACGGUAUUUUGUAUUCGGAGUAUAGGACAAACACUAAUCAGCACAGCACUGUGCCAAGGUGAUAUGGCUUUUAGACCACAGGUUGGACCUCCCAAACUGCUUUGCCUAUUAGUGAACCCAUGUCCUCAAGCAAAUCACCCCAAGUUUCUUUCUUCUCCUACCCAAAGAGGGGCCCAUUCUUCUGCUCAGGGUGGUUGCACCUGAUGAGUAUCAAUGACCCAGGGAUGGUAAGGAUUCUGAGGGUUUAGUGAGGGCACAGCCUGGGGCGAGGCUGCUGAGUGUGAUUUCCCCUCGCCUCAUCUGUGGGAUGUACGGCGAAUUCUUUAACUUCUGUGACUUAGCUUCUUUCUCUGUAACAAAGUUGGCACUGUUGGCAUUUGGUACUAAAUGCUGUUUGUCAUGAGGCUGUCCUGUGCAUUGUAAGAUGCUUCAUAACACCCUCUUGCCACCAGUUGUUGUGACAACGCAAAGUAUCUCCCAACAUUUCCAGAUGUUCCAUAGGGAACAAAUUCACCCUUGAUUGGAAAACACAGCUCUGCAAGGUAGGACUGUAAUAGCCAACUCAUGAGAUGACUGUGAAUAUUUAAUAAGCAUCUCUAUAAGAGACUUUUUAAAAAGAAAAUACAAACUCUAAUUGAAUGCAUUAAUUUUCUUCCCUUCUGCUAAGAUUCAAGCUACUUGAGUUUCUCAUGUAGGGUGGAGCAUGACCCAGAUCCCAGGUUGCAAGUGUUAGUCAGAAGGCUCUCCUUGAUGACUAAUAAUUGGUUUCUGGAGGUAGGAAGAAGUUAUGGAGUCUGGAAAAAUCACCUUCUUGCUCUGCUCAAGGUGGACUGUCCCUAGGACGUGCAGUCUGGCAGUGAGGUUAGCUUUCUCCCACUGAGUACUUGUCCACCUCUGUCAAGAUAACAAGAGCAAUCCCUGUUUAACGCUCCAGACUCCGAGGGAGCAGUUUUGUUGUGGAUAUUGGAUUUGACUGAUUGAACCUGAUUUCCAAGCCUUGAGAAUGGCAGGUGAUUCCUGUUUUGCUCAUCUGUGAUGUGAGCACCUUGUUGAUUGUUCUUGUUUGUUUUAAGGCAGAGUCUUAGUAGACUGGACAUGCCUAGAAACUACUGUGUGGCUGAAGAUGACUUCAAGGUCCUGACCCUCCUUUUUUUUUUUUUUUUUUUUUUUUUUUUUUUUUUUUUUUAACUCCCUGACUGAGGGGCUUAGAGGCUUAUAGCACCGUGCCUGGCUUUGCCUGUUUUUAAAAACAACCAAAAUGGGUUUUCAGCUUUGUUUGUUUGGAGUUGCUUGUUGAGUUGGAAGGGAAAUGAUGGAGAAACAUAGCCCAAGUUUAGCCUGAGAAAUGCCCCAGUACCCUCUGUGAUCUACUUUGCUGACAGUGGCUGUGUGCAAGGCAAACAAGAAGGAUUGGAGGACAAGCAGCGUUGUUUGAGGAGUUUGUGAUCUAAGAGCGACAGCAUAGCAUGCAUAUGGUUAGCGGCAAAGAAGCUUGGCAUCAGGGCUGGAGAGAUGGCUCAGCGGUUAAGAGCAGUGAUUGCUCUUCCAGAGGUCCUGAGUUCAAAUCCCAGCAACCACAUGGUGGCUCACAACUAUCUGUAAUGAAAUCUGAUGCCCUCUUCUGGUGUGUCUGAAGACAGCUCCAGUAUACAUACAUAUAAUAAAUAAAUAAAUCUUAAAAAAAGAAUAACAUUUAAAAAGAAAUAAACAACAAUAAUCUAAUUUAAAAAAAGAAGCUUGGCAUCUUGUUUAAAACAAUAUGGAAACAGUGCUGAUAGCCCCCACUAAUUGCACAAUGUUACCCAUCUUUGGACUUUUCAUGGGCUAAUUUCAUUCAGCCAUCCAGCCUCUCUGUAAGAGAGCUAUAGUUUCCAGUCCAUAGAUGAAAGUUUUGAAGCUUUACAAAGCUGGUAAGGUGGGCACCCUAGUGGUUGGAAGGGAGUGGGGCUCCUUGUAGGAGAUGGAGCCUGUGAGCCAAUGCAGACGUGGACAACAGAGCCUCGAUCAAGAAAGAGAAAGAAGGGACAGUGUGGGAAAGACCUACAAGCCAAUCAAUGCAUGCAUUUUUGCAUGACAGCAAGUGAACCUGGUUGGCUGGGAGGCUCAGCUACAAAACAAGGAAGAGUAGAGGAGAUAACACAGGAAAAAAGUUUAAAAAAAAAAAACUCAACAACUCACAUCUUUUAUCCAGAUGUGAAGAAGGCUGCCAAAGUGUUGGAUGAAGAGUUUUCCAAAACUUAUUUUUAUAAUUCAGAAAUGGAGUGUGUCUGCUCUGCUGCUCAUCCUAACCACAACCCAGACCUCCUGUUACCCUUCUUGUUGAUUGAAAGUUUGACCUCAAAAAUGCACCCGUCUGCUGUUGUAGCUGUGAAAGUAAUACAAGACUUUUAAAUGAGCAAACUUGAACUAAAGGGAGAGCCCCACUUCUCUUGUUGAACUUGGCUUCCGACUUGAUUAGUUCACUGGGCUAAAGUGAUCCCUGUACGUAAUAAAGGUUGUGAGUGGUAAACUUUUUAAAGUAGACUACUGAGUUUAUUCUUGCAGAAUUCUACACUAUGGAAGUAAGGAACAGCCUCAAACAAGAUGAGCUAAAAGGGUCUUACUCCUCUUUGUUGACUUCAGGUCUAACUUGGUGUGCUCAAUUUCCAGUAUAGGGCUUAGCAGCUGACAGCUCAUUUUUGAUGUGGAGUUCUUUUCUAGCUCUUGUUGAUGUGUUUCUAAAAUAUUAGUAAAGAUUUUUGUGUUACAUGCUUGAGAUCAUAGAAGCAUUUUAUAAUUCAUCUUCAUCUGGGUUGGACUCCCUAGAGUUUAGUAGAGCCCUGACAGCAAAAUGCAGAGAUCAUACUAGGUUGGCUAACACCUUAGGGGUGGGUGUGUGUGUGUCCUUUUCCUGACCUCAGUGUGCUGAAGAAAUUUUCUUGUCACUUGAAAAUGAUAAAUUUCAUGAGGAUAUUGCAGAACUACAGAUAGACUCAUAUGUAGUUAAUGAUUUGAAGGUCUUUCUUUCUAAAUGUUAGCUAAGAAGAGUUUCAUGAGGACAAAAUUUAAGUAGGGAGACUGAACUUGGAAGUCCUGGCAAUAGAAACCUGAUUCCAGGGAGAGAUGAAACUGAACCUCUAGGAGUGUGAGACAGGAUAACCAUCCCAACAAAAGCUUUUGUUGAAAGCUUGUUUUUCAAGCGCUGGGUCCAGCCCAGGGCCUGUGCUCUUCCAUCAAGCUACACCCUAGCCCUUUUUGGGGACAACUUUUUGGUAUAACCCUUCUAAAGUAUGAGAUCAGUAUUUUCUGAUCUCAUUAUGAGGAAAGCUAUAAGUUGAUGUUUACAUACUAAGCAAACUGUAUACAACAGUGUCUAGAACAAUUCAGCACAGAGAACUAUAGACUUGGAUUGAGAAAGUUCUGGACAGGAGCUUGCCCUCUCUGUGACUGGAGUGAAUCACCCCAGUUUUUGGAUCUCUGUGGUAUGAGGAGGUUGGACUAGAGUCUCUGGGGGCCAUUCUGUCUCUGGAAAUUUUCUGGACCCCACAAGAACUCUGUGAAAUCAGUUCCCUGGGAUUGACCCCUGUAAUUAGUAUCCUGAGGAAAGAAAAAGUCCUGGCUGAAGCAGGCUGUGGGCUGGUGAGACUAGACGCCAUCUUUUUAACAUUAGCAUUUGCUGUGAUUGUUACACUUAGGUUUUGCUUCGCCUUCUCCCAGAAGGAUGAGUUCUAUGUACUUCUGGCUGACAUAAACUGCUUGACAGCUGUGUCCAGGCCCUGGCAGGCCAGCACUGUGGUGAGGUCCAGCCCCGAGGUGACUUCAUACAGCUGGUGUUUGAAGCCUGCCUACCCAGACUAGGGUAUUUAUAGUAGGGGAGAAGCUAGGAAAAAAUAAAUACUCUACACCCUUCUCUGUCCUACUUGGGACACAGAUAGGCAUUGUGAGGAAUGUAGAAGGCAGUGCUGCACAAGCCAGCACGAUAUUUUUAAAUGCUGUUUGUUGGGGUUGGCAGGCCUGAUUUUUCAAAAAGGAGGGGAAAUGAGAGUCACUGAGGAUGACAGGAGGCCAGGAGUUCUAAAAAGCCAAGAUGCAGAGCUUGUUGUCCUGAGGUGUGCAGGCUUUAACUUCUCUCCUCAGUCCCAGAGUUUGAGCAGGACUUGGGAGGUUAGGCUGAGAGGCGAGAUUAAACAAGCUUGUGCCCUUCUCUUCCCUAUCCACCUCUCAAAUCCUAAGGAAAGUCAAUGAAGUGUUCCAGAUAAGGCAGGGGUCCCUAUGUAUGAACUGGGGACCUGGUGGUUUGGUCUUCAUCUCAGAGCUGGGUAGAUCAAGUUAUACACGGAGACAAAAUUGGAAAGCAAAUUGCUCACAGCUGUUCUUUUGGACUUAAUCCUCCCAGGGCAAGCAGGACAAGCCAGAACUAUGCUGGGAUUCAAUACAGGAGUGUAAUACAAGGCCCCGGGGUAGAGCUGCCCUGAGAAUCAUCAGAAUAUUCCCCUAUCAUGGGACCUUUGUAAAGUCUCACAGAUGAUAUUGUCUAUUUAGCUAGUCUCUGAGGAGAUUACAGUGCGUAGGGACUCUGGGUUAGGAGCUAGGAGGAAAGUUCAGUUUGCGGUGCAUCAUUUGUUCAGCAAAUAUUUACUGAAGACUUUGUGUGGACUGGGCAGUGUUCCGGGGAGCAUGGCUGAAAGUGAAGACAGGAGGCACAAUGGAGGAGCCACAGUAAGGGCCCUCAUGGCUGGAGAAAGCAGCUCCCAGUAGAGGGAAUAACAAGGAACUGUUCCUGGUUGCUGUAGACCGCACGGAGAUGAGCGUGGUUGGGUUCCUCAUGGAGCAGAAGGAAGGAGAAGACGAAACAACACAGUGUUAUUGCAUAACAGCGCCAUGUCUUUAAGGCUGAGUGUGCUGUGAUGAACUUGAGCUGAUUGACACGAUUCCAUUUGCAGUUUAAGACGGUUAUUCUCUCUGCCCUGUUGGGAAUGGACUUUAGUAUCAAGUGUAGAAGUGAGAUGAUCAAGGAAGAGGGGUUUGCAAUCAUUGAGGUAAAAGAGGGAGGAACUUAGACAAAGUGAGGGUGGGACUUGGACAGGUUGGUCGUGGAUGUGUGUAUGGUCAGAGCCAAUGGUAUUUACCUACAGUUUGGUAUGUGAGUUAAGAGAGGAAAAACUGAGUGACGACGGUAAGGCUUAUGGGCCAGGCUUCACUAAAGUAUUGAAGGGGCAGGACUAAGCCAGAGACUUAAGUGUAGAUUUGGUUGUUUGUCCCAGAUGUAAUCUACAGAGAUAGUAAGUAAGAAGCUGGGUAGGAGGCAAGGCCACCUUAUACUUUCUCAAUCGUGUAAUAGAUUGAAUAGCUGUACUCAUUUGUUUUUCCAGAGGCAUAGCCCAACAAGACUGGUCAGGACUUGGGCAAGAGAGGGUUAAUUUCUAUUUAACAUGUUCAGUUGUUAGCCUAAAGAAGCUCCUUUGUAGAUGGCCAAUAGCCUACACAAAGGUGAUCAGCUCUACUGUUUUCAGUCAUUAACACGUGGUCUGUUUAAUUAGGUCCACUAGUUCUGUGAACUACUUGGAACUUUGCAUACAUGUUCUUCACUUCUGGAAAAAACUAUAACCCAUGUUCAGGCAGCUUUGGAUUCUUGCAAGUCAGUCAUGAGUGAGUCAGGAAUUGAUAUUGAAAGAAUGUUCAUAGGAUACUGUGUAUAUCCAAGGGCCUGCUCUUCAGAAGGUGGGGGCAUAGGGUAGUUAUGGAUGGGACCUUAUGGUUGCCACUGCCUGACCAUCUGUUGUCUCAAUUUUCCUCUGCUAUUAAACGGGGAUAUCACAGUUCUCAUCAAGUAGCUCUUUCAUUAAUUCCCAGCAGUAGAUUCAUGUUAUCAUCACCUGGAGAGCUUAAAAAUAUAUGUGUCUGUGACUAAUAUAAGGGCCUUCCUUCAGAAACUCCGAAGGAAAUGGUGUGGAAAAGGGCUCAGAUGGUGUGGGAAGAGUGCUUGGGAACGUCUGGUACACGGCUAGCACUCAGACAUUAGCUAUUAUUAGUGGGCAGAGCAUCACUGUUCUGGAGUGCUUGUUUCUGCCCCACCCAGGCUGAUGGCUUUCCUUCACUCCUUAGCUAUGAUGCUUGGAUCGCUCCUCAUCCACAGAGCUCCCCAGAGAGCUCCAAGAGAAGCCUGGAGUGCUGGGCUUACCUGGGAAGGGCAAAGUUAGAUCUGGAACGGCAGUGCUGAGGUCAUGCUGCUUAAUCAACUGGUAAAGCUUCUGUUAAUUACAUCUCUAGGAUGCAGAAACUGUCUAAAGAGGUUAAGUAACCGGCUCAGGUCUCACAAGUCAUAUAAUGAAACCGAGGCAGCCUUCCUCCAGAUUCUCGAGUUCCCAACUACGCAUGUGUCCUCCUUCACCAGAGAAGCCAGCAGACCAUAGUGUCAACUCCCAUGUCCAGCACUUAAACUACGAAGUGCUGAGCCUUACAGUGUGUACCUGGGCUAUGUGCUUCACAUGUCUUGGGCCAUGUGGUUCUGCCAUUGUGUGUAUUCUGCAUGUAGUCUUGCUGAAGAGCUUGAAGCUCAGAGAAACCCCCUGAAUAUCAUUGAUCAAAACAGGACGGCCUAGCUUGAGUCCUCCUUCACCGUGCUGCCUCCCUUCCCCUGUUCUCAGAAGUGUCUGGGUGGAGAGAAGCACAGGGUGAUUUUAUUAGCAAAGAAAUGAUGGGGUUGGUAAGGAGGGUGAGAGAGAAACUGCAGCAAGGCCCAGGCGCCCCUUAUGCUUAGAACAGGGAGCCAUUUAGGUGCCUUAAAAUAGCCUGCCGUGGCGGGGUGCUGGCUGCCACAGGGCCUGUUCUGGAGGUGCUCUCUGCCUAUUUAAAGCCGGACCCUUCUCUCCGGUGAAGUGAAUGAAAUGACCUCUGAGAAACUGAGUGCUUGCCUAAAAUAGUUCAAGAGGAAGAAUCUUUGGAAGCUUCGGGCUCCUUGAGCCCAUUUCCUCUGGAUUUAUGUCACCUCAGAGAACGCCUGGCCUCCUCUUGUUUACUCUUCUGGCUCGUCCCUUUCUACCGUACUUGAGUCCUGUGUCAUCCUAAGCCAAAAGCAUCCAUCCUCACAGAACGUAGCAGCCUUUCCCGAGUAACUAAGUUGGGGCCUUUUCUGCAUUUAGUUUGUCUCUUAUGGGGGUGGGGGUGGUGAGAGGCCAUUUGUUUAGGACUUGGCCGUUUCUCUCCUCUGGCUGCAGAGUUUCCAAGAUUAGAGCUCUGAAGUGAAUUUUCUUUUUCUUCCCCCCCCCCCCUGCUCACACAAGGGCUGCCCCAGGGAAGCCAGGGGUUUCUCACAACCUUCCUCUUGUGGUGCCUAGGAACAUGUAUGAAGAGCUUUAAAGUCACUCCUCAAUAAUGCGGCCAUAGCCACAUGUGGGCCAUUAAGUUUUAAACAUAAUAAAAUUCGAUACUGUUAAACAUCUCACACAAGCCUCCUUUCCAGUACUCCAUCAGCACGCAUGCCCAGUGGCUGCUGGACAAGGCAGAUAUAGAACACGUCCAUCAUCGCAGACAGCUCUACGAGACAACAUGCCAUUAGACUGCAGGUCACCAGCUGGUCACUUGGGCCAGCUUUCUGGGUUUUCACGGGUCUAAACAUCUUAACUACUCCCCAGCUUCUCAGAGACCCCUCUGUUUGCAGAAGUAGGAAGAUUCAUGGAAGGAGAGAUUAAGGGCAUUGAUUUUUGUGGCUCUAACCUUUGGACCCCUCACACAAGGUUGUAUUUUAUGGUUUCAAAGCUGUGUAGCCUAGGGCAAGUCACUUAACUUCUCUGAAAAAGUUCCCUUGUCAGUGAAAUGGUUUUAGAAAUACCUCAUGGGGAUUCCACGAGGGUUAAACAAAAUGGAUAAAUGUGCAUAAAACAAUGCCUGUUACACAGUGUUGACAAAGCUUGUGACACAUUCCCUCAAUGGAGGCCAGGGUAUCCGUGAAGGCACUUUAUUCAGUCAAAGGUAGUCGUUUGCAAGUAACCCUUAAACACUCUAAAUAAAUGGAGUUGAUACUAUUGCUGCUCCCUUCACCAGGACGUGUGUCCUCAGAUUUAGGCUCUGCUUCUUUCAGAUUCUGGGCUAUCCUCUCUGGUUUAUUGAAUGACUUCCCGGUCACAUCAGACAAUGCAGAGUUCACUUUCUCUGUGGAACUGUCUGUUCCUUUCAUGCUCUGGGUGUGUUCUUUUUGAGGGCCUCUUGCCCAAAGCCAGCCUGUCAGCACUACCUGGGAAGCUACCACCAAGACAGCGGGUAAUCAUCAGAAACUCUUGAAACUAUCCCAGAGUUGAAGGUUUUGAGUGUCUCCCAUGCCCUGUGCAUCUUCUGAGCUGUGAGAAGUGAGACAAAAAGAGCUCUUGUUGGGCUCUUGGCAGAGGGGAAAUUUGGAAGGAACAUCUUUGGAAUCAAGAGAGGUUUCUCUUGAGCUGUAGAGAGAGCAAAGUAUCUGUUCACACUUGGGGCCUGGGUUCCACCCAUGACCAUUCACUCUUACCUAGAUAACAUAGCUGAUGAUUUAACCUUUCUGUACUUCAGUUCUCCCAUCUGUAAAAAGGGAAUAAUCCAGAGAAGCUACCUGGUGGAGUGCUUUUAAGGACUCAGUGAGAUGGGACACAAUAAAGUCUCCUAGUCCAGUCUCACGUCCUCUGAUGGAACUGGCACAGUACUAGCAGCAGUGAGCUGCAGUCCCCACCUUCCUCCUUUGUGCUCCCCAGAAAUGACAUUGGGGAUUAUUACUCUGCCAUGGACUGUUUGUACUUUCUAUUUGCUGAUCUAGUGUUUAAAUCACAGACAUGAUCUGGAGGGGAGCUAGCACGCAAAGCCAUAUGUAAAUUACAUGUGCAUAACAUGAGCUCCCAUGUGCUCUUUUUCCUCUUCGCCCUUCUCUCCCUGGAUGGCAGAGAGUUGUCAUUCCAGACGCUCACAGGUGACCACCAGCCUGCUUUCCUCCUGCUGUGUUAGGCUGUGUGAGCAGCACUGCCCAGCCGUGCAGUGUAAUCAGAGCUGGCUUCUUUCUAUAGGAUUCAUUUGUGGUGUGGAACAGCCAUGUGUUUAUGCAGUUGCCACUCAUUUGUCCACAGUUAGAUGUGCCAAAUCUGACACUUGGGGUGAACUCCAAAUAACUUGGAACUAUGUGCAGGCUAUACAGGCGUCUUAAUCAAACUUAUUACAAGGCAUAUAUCUAAAUUGGAGGAAUCCAGCUGCCACUCUGCCUCUCCUCUCUUUCUAUGCCUGGCACUAGAGGGAGGAACCAUUCACAAAGAGAACUUCUAAGAAAAGGAAGGACACAAAGCCAGGAUAUUGCAUCACUCUGUUGUCACCGUUUGUGAAACAUGACCAAUGCUGACAAGCUGUUGUCCUAUGUGGCUUCCCUGGAGCCCUACAAAUCACUCCUGGUUGGUUAAAGGACAACGCUGAUUCUUCUUGCCAGUUGUUUUGGCUGUGACCUGUGUUGAGGUCCACUGUCAGCACAGUCUCUAUUCUUCAUAGGGGGGAGAGAGAGAGAGAGAGAGAGAGAGGGGGGGGGGAGGGGGAGAGAGAGGGAGAGGGAGAGGGAGAGAGAGGGAGGGAGAGGGAGAGAGAGGGAGAGAAUAUGUGUAUGUGUUGAUUUGAGCCCAUACGUAUCUUCCUCUUUCCAAAAAUACAAGAGACCUCUAACUUGACCAUCCAUAUGACUGGCUGAUUGCUGGAACAUUCUUGGGGCACUUAAAAAUGGUACUUAACUGGCUAUAUUUAUUUUAAACCUCCAAAAUUGGGUCUGAGUUAUCUGGGUGACAAUUUUUACCUUCAAGACUAACUCUUUUUAAUGCCUGGUAGUGACUGUAUUUUCUGUUCACAUUUUCUGUGUGUAGUAUUUCUACAAAGCACUGUGUUUCACCAUGGCAUUUUCACAUAUUUGUAGGGUACUUGCCAUAUAUAACCAUGUUCACCCCCUUACCAUCUCUUGUUUCCUUCCCUGUCCCAUUGGUACCUCCUAUAUCCCCCCUUCUAAUUUCAUGCAUUUUAAGUUUAGACAGUAUUCUUCAGUGUUCCUCAGGUGGUUGUGAUGAGUAGGCAAAUGGAAGACUGUCUGGCUUUACUGGUUAUCAGUGGGGUUCUGUGCCAGGAACCUCUAAGUGUAUAUCAGUCUGGCAAAGUCUAGGCUGAGAGAGACUGAUUAGAGGUAGUAUCUGAGGCUAGCCUGUGUCUUCUUCUCUCCUGAGUAAUGAAUGGAGGCUAUGAUCAGACCUACUCAAGGAGGAGCUUGGAGUGCUUUGGAAAAAAGAAUAGAAGUCAGCAGUCUUGUGGGGUUCACUCAGCCACACCCAAUGAGUGGAUGGUCAUAUCUGUCCAGUGCCUUCUGGGAGAUGAGAAAGAUUCCAAUGAUUUUUGUUGAUUGUCUCGUGGAAUCCUCAUUGUAGACUAUGAGCUAAAGAGCCUGUUACUAAUCGUGUUUCAUAGAUGAAAAUAUGAGGGCUAGGUACAGUUAAAGUGGGUAGUCCAAGGUCACUCACUCAUAAGCAGGUGAAAGAACCAUUUGAGUUUUAUUUCCACCAGACUUCAAGCUCUACUUUCUAUCCUGAAGGCUUGAAUCAAAGUCAGUACACAGGGCGGCUGAGACAGCUCAGCCUGUAAAGACAUCUGCUAAACCUGAUGAUCUGAUGCAGCCCCUGAGACCCUGCAUGGUAAAAGGAGAGAACCAACUCUUGUAGGUUAUUCCCUGACCUGCACUCACGUGCCUUGACACAGGUGCAUGCAUACGUAUACACACAAAUACUAAGUAAAUAAAAAUGAAAAAAAAAACCCAGCAGGCUACUUAGAAUAGGUCAAAUAAUUCCUGUCCUGUAAAAGAAAUGUCAGAGUUUUCCACAAAGUAUGUUUUGUGCUUUCUCUCCUCAAGGCAUUGCUAAUUCCCUUCUAGUCUCCUAUUUCAAUUGCCUCCAGACCCAGCUAAAACUGGUUUGCUCUUUUUCAGUGAGUUGUUCAUGUUUUGAUCUGCUGUCCUUCUUUCUUACUCCUGCUCCCUCCCCUACUCACCCCCUACACACAGAUAUACUUGCUAGAUGGGCCUAGUGUAUGUAUGGGUCAGGUUCUGAGAAUGCUACCAUCAUCACCUGGGGCAUAAACACAGGCCCGUUUUUAGUUGGUAUGUGUCUCAGUCUGAUAAUUGACACACUCAGAGGAGCAUCCUCUAAAGGGCUGAAGGGUGGGACUAUGUAAACUGAUUGCCUGCAUUCAGAUUCUGGGCCUAUUUCUUGCUUAAUGAGUAACUGCUUAAUUACACUACUACCCAGUCUACACUGUAAGACAGAGCCACUACUACUGACUUUGGAGGAUAGUUACAGGAAUUGAAUAGUACUUUCAAAAUAUAUUUGAUAUAAUCUUGGCCUAUAAGUACCCAGGAUAUUAGCCAUUAUGGUGGUAGAGUAGGCCCAGUGCUGAUAUAUGCCCAUGUAUAUCUCAUAUACACCAUGAGCAUUAAGGGAGAGGUCUGGGCUUUGCUAGUCCAGUUUAGGUCCCUUUCUUUGUGCAAUUCUGGGCAGGUUCCUCUGCUUUGUUUAUUUUUUCUUCUGCCCCGAGGACCAGAAUCAGUGUCUUAUGUAUGGCUGACAAACACUUUACUAUUGAACUAUGAUACCCUAGUCCCACUUGUAUUUUAAUUUGUAAUAUUAGACCAAAAGCUGUACCUACUGUCUGUUUUGUAAAGCUAAAAUUUGGAGCUGGAGGUGCAGUUCAGCAGUAGAUCCCUCACCUGACAAAUGAUGGGUCCAUGAUUCAAAGGGUGAAAUUAAAAGUCAAUGGCUUUAUGAAACGUGUAGGUAGGUUUACUUGGCAGUGAAUGGAUAGAUUAAAAAAAAAAAAGGAAUGGGAUGAACCUUAGCAAAACUAUAGUGAGAAAUGUAAGCUCAGUCUUUAUAAAGUUAAAAGAAAAAGGUCUUGAGGAAUAUAUUACAGGUCAGAUCAAUCAAUAGAGCAGAAAAGGGAAGAUGAGGGCCAAACACAGAUAACGGCUGUCUAAAUCUUAUGGGGAGGGAAAAGGAGAGGGGGAGGGAGGGAGACUCAUGUGGUUUAGUUGUCUGUGCUUGCCACAGCUCUAGCUUUGUCUUGGGGGGUGAUUUCACAUUAUUAUAACUAAUUAAAAGUGGUCAUGGAUGAAGGAUUGUGGUAAAUCAAAUUAAUGCACCUGAGGUUAAAAAUUACUGGGUUCCCAAUUGGUGGUGGCUACUUAUUAUUAGCAUGCUAUGGACCACCUGGGUUAUGCUGUGAGCUUCCUUGGUGCUCUCUGUGAUUGCCUGUGAUUUUGGGUAAAAUACCUGAGUACCAAGGCUUUCCUCUUCCAGCCACAGUGGCCUUCUUUUACAGAGAGCCCAGAACAGUCAGGAUAUUCAGGUUGCCUUGCUUCUCAGGUUUGGGCCAACACGUGGGCAUAAGUGCCUGUGUGAGUCUAAACUCACUGAACAAAGACAGGGUUGUUUUGUCCUUGCUGUGCCAGAUGGAAGGCUUUCAUUAGUCACUUUGGGAGCAUUCAUAUUAGCUGGGAGAUUUUCUUUCCAAGGGUUGGAGCUGACGGUGUUUGCCUUGGGAUGGUCUUAGUCCUCUCUGCUUUCAUUGCUACUGCCAAGUAUCACAACCCUUGCCUACGGCUUUGCUCUACCCAUAGUUCCUUUUCCUUAACAUGGGGAAGCAUGGAGGAUAUUUGAGAUGGCCCAAUCACAUGUUCCCAGGUCAGUGGCAUCUGGGUACAAGUAAUUCUCAGGUCUAGCUCUUCUUCUCUGACUGUGGUUUAUAAAGGGACAGAGACAAGAGCCCCCGGUUUUGGAGCCAGGAAGACCUGAAUUCCAUUUCAGACUCAGCCAUGUAAUCUGAGGUAGCAGUAUUGUUUUUUCCUGUAUGUUGAACUGAGACCAGUGAAUUGUCACAUAGGUACAUGUGUUCAACUUACCUAGGUCAUGAUUAAACUCCAAGGAGGGGCUGGGGAUGUAGCUCUGUUGUAGAGUGCCUACCUAGUAUGCAUAAACCCCUGGCUUCAGUGCCCAGCCCUACCCAAACUAGGGCUGAGAGUAGGAGGACAAGAAAUCAAGCCCACCCUAUACUAUAUCACAAGUUUGUGGUCAGGAGGCUUCAAAACCAAAAUCAAACGGUAACAGCAAAAGGAUCUUAGGCCCUCAAUGGCCCUUCCUGUCAGCAACUCCCCACGCACACCUCAAGUACCCACAGAGGUCUGGUUUUUGUUGCUAUCAACUGUUCUGAACUUUUAGGGUUGAGACAUUAUUAAAACCCUUCUGAGCUUCAGUUUCUUUUGUGGAAAGUGAAAAUAUAGGGCCGUGUUACUGCAUUGAUUUGGGAAAAUCUAACAGGACAGGGUACAUGAAGUCCACAAUAAGAGAAUUAUCCAGCAGGUAUCACUAGCUUAGGCAGAGCUGUGUUAUCUCUGAUGGCAGUGUUGGCUCUAGAGAGUCGGGUUCCUGCUGAUGUUAUGGCAUUUGUGUCCUGUGCCCUCUAUGUUCCACUACCAUCUUGAACAUGCUUCAGGUUGUUCACACAGUGGCUUGCAGGACUUCUGCUAGAAACCAGUACUUGAUGCUUAAGUUGAUAGAAGAGUGAGCAGUAAAGAAAGCAUUCUGCAGCCUCCCUCUCCAAACCUGUGAUUCAGACUCGGUCUGUUUUCUCUAUUAGCAAAAUCGAUAGCUGUAUCGCAAAGCGCAGGCUUGGGUCGGACCUGUUUCUCUAAACCGAGAGUUGGUGUUAGUGUGCCCUGGGUGCCAUGUUUGUUGAAGUGUAAGGAUGCUAAAUUUUUUGUUUUAAAACUAAACAAAAACCACCCCAUAUGAUGGCCCCAAAUUUCUACAAUGGUAAAUAUUUCCUUGAGUCAAAGAGAAGAAAAAACAGGAUACCCAAGUUGAGGGGUUUUUGUUUUUUGGUUUUUUUUUGGGGGGGGGGGGUGACUUUGUGAUGCAUGUUCUACAUUAGGCCUUAAUCUGUGUGGUAUGUAUGCCCUUUCCUGACUUUAGGCCUUCAUGAAGAAGGCAGGACUACAGGAGAGAGGGCAUCCAAGGAACUUAUAAAGACAAAUUCCCCGAGUCAGAGAUGGAGUCUGAAGCUGGGAUCUGUCCUUAGAACCUUCUCCCUACACUCACAGAACACUGACAAUAUGUCAAGGACGAUGUGAAGAGAGCAGUGACUGUGAGCAGCUUUGAGCCAAAGGCAUGCAUUCAGCAGAUUGUUACAAUGCAGACUGUGUACUGCAUGUGGAAGACCAUAGCUAGUAAGCCAGGUUGGGGCCAGGGGUUGACGUGGUCCUGGAAGCUGAAAAAACUACAAGAAUAAAUCUCAGACAUCUCAUGUCAUAUGUGACUCAUGUCAGAGUGUCCCUGAGACCCCUCAUCUAAGGAGACAUUUCCCAGGGUAACUUCUGCCCACCCCUAAAUGAGAUUGUGCUUUUGCUAAACCGCUGGAUGUGUCUGCAGCUGGCAUGCCCUUGCUGUGUUUCUGAUCGCUUUGCAGCGCCCCGAUCCAUGCUGCGAUGUUUUAAAGACAGGGGCCUUCUUACUCUGGAAAAGGGUUUCACUUUCUUCCCAGGUAAAUAAGAGAGGUUAGGCAGUAGAUCUGCAUGGAAAAGAAGUGCUUUAUUAGCAAGAGUUUGUGAGAAAGAACACGGCUCUAGUAUGGAGCUGGGAGAGAAACAUGUUUGCUGAGAAGGAGAUGCCCACUCGGCAUCCCCUGUGUGGCCCGCCAUCGAGUAGGGAGCCAGCAUGCCAAAUUUCUCCAGUUACCAUGGGACCCAGACUUUGACAGGAAAUCAUGGUAGGGUGGGAAGGAAUCCAAAAUACACAUGGCUGGCAUACAGGAUGCAGUUAGGAAAGAGAAGAGAACAGUCCAUCUAUUUUCCUGCGCUGAGUUCUCUAGCUUCAAAUGGGGCUGUUCUCUAAGCCUCCCUCUGAAGUAGGUCCAUUUUAUGGUCCUGAUUUUCAAGCAUGAACUUUUUCCAUAUUAAGCAAUACUUCUGUGAUUAAAGUGGCCCCUUUAUAUGUUUGUGGAGGGUAUUUCUUAGCCGUGUGUGUGUGUGUGUGUGUGUGUGUAUUUGUGUGUUUUAAGUCUACAAACUAAAAAAGGAAAAAAAAUUCUCUUCAGUCAAGGAGACACUUUUCUGGUCUUUCGGAUUUUUCCUGAGCUAUCUCUCUGCUGAAGCAGCCUGCUGGAAGCCCAGCACCCUUCAUUUACUGAGGUGUGCCAGUAGUAACAGGAGGACUUUUGUGGCUGAAUUUCCUGGAAAUUUCAGCCACCAUGUUAAGAAGGUGAAAUGUCUCAUCCACAAAGAAGCACAUUUGCAUCCUGUCAGUGAAGUCUGUUAAACUGGAAAGCUAGGAGAGGGAUCUUGCUUGGGCCUUUUUGCAAAUGGAACUUUGGAAAAGUUCAGCAGGACCUGACUGUGCAUAGCCUGGGACCAGUUCCAGACCUCCAGAACAUUUAACAGGUUGCUAUUGAUAGCAUUUUCCAUGAACCACGCAGUCUAGCAGUGUCUUUGAAACCCUCCCAUAUUUCUUGGGAAAUGUCCUCGACUGUUGAUGGAAACGGCAACUCUGCCACAGGGUUUUCAUCGCUGCACCUCCUUAGUACCCCUCUUUCUUCUUUCCUCUUCCUCUUUCUCUCUUUUUUCCCUCUCCCUUUCUUCUUCCUCUCUCCACCUCUUUCCUUCCAGACUGAGUGUAAUUUGUCAGGCACCUUAAAGUCACCAAGCUUCUUGCUCUUGUCCCUCAUGAUGACUCUAACUAUAGUUGGUUUAGAAGAGGUGACUAGACCAGCCCUAAUAGCAGUAGAGUACCUUAUGGUUUUAUUCUUUCUCCUCUGAGAUAACAACCGCUGUAACUCACCAUUUAACUGUGACUUUAUUUAAAGUCCCUUGCUACACGUUGUGCGGACUACCUUAUGUGAGCCUCAGAACCCACCCUGUGCUGUAUUGCUAUGAUUUAUUUCCAGUUUACGGAUCAGCUAUGGCUCAGAAGAGCUGGUGUUAGUUGAGGAUGAGAUAGGCUGGUGAUGUGCAGCUUCACCUGACUCAGAGACCAUAUUCCUGACCACCAUGCAGUACUGCCUUCUCUAUACGCUGUGCUGCCUUUCAAGAAAAUAAAACCACAGAGUAACCCAUCUAGGACCAAAAAUACCUUGAGGAACUAGAGGUUUUUUUUUUUUUUCUUACCCAGAACUUUCUUCUCUGAGCAGUGGCCCCAACGAAGGUCUCUGACAUCCAAGUUAGCAGCAGUGGGUCAGAGACAGUCAGUCUUAGGUUCAUAUUCAAGGUAGGUGAGGCGGUCUGGGAGGCCAGUGCACUGUCUUUAUAUUCCAGGUAAUUUGCCUGAAGCUGAGAAGCUGUGAAGUUUCAGCUUUUUAAGUGCACUUCUGUUCAAAUUUUAUGUUUCAGGACUCUGCAGGUUGCAGAUGCAGGACAAACCAGUUUAAGCAAAGUGAAGUUACUGCCUUAAGGUCCUGAGUGGGGUUGGCUUCCGAUGCGCUCUGAUUCAGAGGUUCGGAGACCCUGGCUAUCUCCUCUAAAUUUUGCUCUAGAUGUGCUUAUAAACUGGCUGCAACAACCUUGCCUUUGAGGAAGAACAAGGGCCAAGCUGGCUUCCCUAAUAGCUCAAACAAAAACUGUGUCUGUGAGGUUGCUUAGCUGUGAUAAGCCUAGUCAGAGUCACGUGUCUGUCAUUGAACCAGUUACUGUAGUCUAGGGCCACAUGCUUUUUCUCUUGAUGCAGAGAGAGAGUAAGGGACCCGUGGGUCUGAGAAUGGUAGGUGGGCUAUGGAAAGAAGACGGAGAGAUGGAGCUGCUGGUUGAACUAGAUAGAAAAGUAGAAUAGAAAAAUAACCAUAGGGAAUGCAGCCAUCACCCACGGUAGGCUAGACAAGAGUAGUUUUUUAUUUUAAGGGUUUCAACUUGCCAUUAUUAAUAAGCAUCCCUUCUUGUUGUUGCCGUUUGGGCAUUUAUUUUGUGUGUAUGUGUACGGAGCCUGUGCUCCUAUGGGAGUACAUGCACAUGGAUGUCCUUGUAUGGGGAAGCCAGAGGACAACUUCAGAUGUUGUUUCCUAGGAGCUGUUGAUCUCAUAUUUGUAAUCAACAAGGUCUUUGACCAGGAUCCAGGGCUCAGUGGUUAAGCUAGGCUGGAUGGCUCUCUGUUGCAGAGACCCACCCUUCUCUGCCUCCCUAGCUCUGAGGUUAUUGGUGUGUGCCACCAUGCCCAGCUUUGUAUUAGUUGCUGAAGAAUGAGCUCACGUUUUCAUGCUUGGGCAGCAGGCACUUUACUAACUGAGCCGUCUCCUCAUCCCCAAGUCAAAGAGCAAUGUGAUUUAUUUAUUUAUUUAUUUAGUCAUUCUUUCUGGCUUCAGUGUCUAUUUGUUCUAAUGGAACUUUUCCCUCUGGAAGAAAAGCACUUCUUUAGAUGAGUACCACUUAAAUAUUCAGAUUGCAGGUUUUAGUGAGAGCCAUUUAGACUGUCAAUAGCUCAAAGACUGGUUUUAUUUCUGACUUAAUGGCAUCUUAAAUUAUGUCAGAUGAAUUAAAGUGCCACUUCUUUCUUCCAGCCUAAGUCCAAGUCAUUGCUAUCUUGAUAUACUUGAAGUUUGAGUGAGACUGCUGCCCACUGUUACAGAAAAGUCCAUCUCACUGAUCCUCAUGAUUAAUCAGUUGCAGAUGCAAGUGGAAGGUGCGACCGUAUUAGGGACCAUGUGUUUUCAGGAUCCUGAUGGCUGUGUGGCUAAUGUGCUUUCCACUGCAGAACUAAACCAGCCAAGGAAGGGUGUUAUUAAAUGUUCCUUUUGAAGUACCUACAGUUAAACAGAUCCAGAUAGAAUGACUGUUGAGCCAACCAGGCUACCAUGAGUGGUGCCCUGUGGCCAGCAUCAUGGAGGACACAAAGCAGUGGUUCUUGCAGGGGGUAUGAAUGAUCCCUGCCUACUUGCAAUAUCCAAGGAAAGUCUGUGUACACUGUGCUGCUAAAGGCCCUGCGUACAGUCUCGUGUAAUCCUCACACUAACAGCAGGAGGCAGCUACUAGUGUCCUCAUUUUUUGCAGAGGAAAUAACAGAGGCUUAAAGAUGAAAUCUCCAGUCACCAGGGACAAGCUCGUCACAUCCAGCCUUGCACCAAUCUCCCUCCAGCUGCAGAAACCCCUGUUGCUCAUUCCCUCACCACAGUGCUGAGGACGGAGACUGUCAUUGCAGGAUUUCUCACAGGCACAAAAGCACACUCUCCCCUGAUAACAGAUUUCAUCACUCUCGAAACUGGAAGCCUGGGAAGAAAGAAGAUUGCUGACUGCUGGAGCCUGCCUUUCCAGAAGGAGGCUAGUUGCAGGGAGAGGAGGGACUGCCAGCCUCUUUGACUCACGUGAUCUUACCAUCUGUCUGGCUUCUGACUCUCAGCACCGACUCAGUCUGUCUGCAACCCAGACAGCAAGACCAGGCCAAGGACAAACCAAAUCUUGACCCUAGAAUUUCUUGACCCUGGAAUUGGGUAGAUGGAAAGUUGCUUAGGGCUGCUGAGGCCACCUUAAUCUCCGUAUCUCUAUACACUGUUAGCUGACUCAUUUGAGAAGGCAGGCAGAUGGAGCUGGAAGUGUGAAGCAGGCUGUGAGGAGUCUGAUCUGAGUCUCCAUGGCGAGACAACGACAGUACAUGCUAGCCAUGUAUGUGCCACUGCUGUGUGCACUUGUUAAACCAGAUCCAACCACAAUGGGAGAAGCAAAAACCUAAUCCAGGACUUUGUCCUGGGCAUGACUAUUGGAUUUUAGACAAAGGUUUUAUUUUUCCCCACAUAAUUCCUCUUGGAAGAAAUCUAUACGGGUAAGGGGCAGAGUAACUGUAUGGAUAUUUUCCUUCAUACCUUUAGACGUGAGACAGGAGACUCCCUAUGAGCUCACAGGCAAUCUAGACUAGGACACACAGCAGCAGACAACAGAGAGGCCUGUCUCAGACAAGGUAGAAGAUGAAGAUCGACAGCCUCUGUUGUCCUCUGACCCCCACUUGUGUACUAUGACACAUGAGUGCCUACACACGAGAACACUCUCAGACACAAUAAUACACACAGAAAGAUCUUUAAUGUAGGUGUAGAGUCCUGUGUACAGCAUGAUAUUGAGGAAUUGGGAAUUUAUAUAUGCUGGGCUGAUAGCUUUUCAACAAGAUCCUGACUCCUGUCACUUUGGGGGUUACUUUAUAAGCUAAUUAAAAUUGGGGGGGGGGUUGGGAGAAGAUAACUAAAAAAUGCCAAAGGCCUGGGAAUGUACUCCAGGCCCUUUCCUGCCUGCCCCGCUAAGCAGCAGGGAACAGACUCGUGGAGUAGGAUGGAGAGCAGGGGAUCUUUUUGCAUUGCUCUACCCAUCUCACUGGAAACAGCACCUUAGAGGGUGCGAUGCAUGACAGUUGACGGUGUGAUGGCCUCUUUAUCCUGUGUAAUUUUCUCUGCUCUGAAGUGUGCUUUAUCUAAGUAUAGCCACUCCAGCUUUCUUAUGCUUGCACAAUGCAUUUCCUCUACAUUUAAUUUUAACUACUCCACAUUGUAUUUUGAGUGAGUUGCUUGUAGACAGCAUAUAGCCACAUUUCGUUUAUCUGAUUUCACUCCAUGAUCUAGCUGUUGGAGAAUGCUUGGGUUUAGCUUUCUUUCUGAUUUGCUCAAAGCCAAAUUGUACCAGUUUAGACGUAUUCUCUUUUCUUUCCUCUUCCUUUCUUCUAGGUUAUUUGAAUAUUUUUAAAUUAAUAUUUAUUUUUAUUUUGUCUGUCUGUUUAAUGUGUGAGUGUUUUAUCUGUACAUAUAUCUAUGCACCAGGUGCAUGCUUGGUGACCUUGGAGACCAGAAAAGGACAUUCGAUCUCCUGGAACUGAAGUUAUAGAUAGUUGUAAGCCACCACAUGGUUGCUGGGAUUCAAACCCAUGUCCUUCGCAAGAGCAACAAGUACUUAAUCACUGAGACAUCCAUUCAGUCCCUAUUUGAAUACUUUAAAUAUUCCAUUUAAUUUUAUCUAUUGUGUUUGGGUCAUAUCUUUUGGAAUUUUUUUUUCAAAUGGGUGCUGUAAGGAUUAAACAUGUACAUGUGUACAUAAUACUUACACACAUGCUUAUUUCCUCAGCGAACUUAGAUUUAAUAUGGUCCUACUAGAAGUAGAAUGUAUAAGAGUCUCACCACCUCUUACCCUCUGUAUAAAAUCUAACUUUGAAGGAUGCUAGGCUAGCCCACCAAACAAAAUGUAUAAAGGGGAGAUAGAUUUUAGAAGGAAUAAAGAGUUGGGUCUACCUCAUUCUUUCACUUAGUAAGCAUUUAUCCAACAUUUUACCUGGUAACAUCCUGAGUUGUAUGAGCUCUAGAUCGAUGGUACUAAUAGCUAUCACUGAGUACUCACGGUAUGCAUGCUGUCUUCUCAGUUCUUCACAGUUCUGUUACUAAUCCUGUAAUUAUUCACAUUCAGUAAGUAAAGAACUGCAGGCACAGUGAGCUUAACUUACCAAGAGGACAAAGGUUAACUUAGCUAGAAAGCAGCAGAUCUUUGGGUCCGUCGCUCACAUCUCUGCAUUGUCACGGGAUUACUGCUGUGGGAGAAGCACACCAGAAGCUCAUGGGGAGCUUGCACACCCCACAGAGUCCAGUUUACCACCCCUAGAGCCACUGAUGGUCCACUUAGGAGGCCCUUUUCUUCUGUCUGAUCCUUUUUCUUGUCUUCUGUAAACAUUUGUAGGAGACCUUGUCUAUGCCUGAGAUUACGCCAAAGCUCUGAAAGGGGACCUUGAACCUGAGGUCAGAACAGGAAGGCCCUCGGAGGGCUGUCCGAGCACUUUUCAGAUAGGGAGACUGAGGUGGGUAGGAGGGAAAACAACCUGUCCAGUGGUACACAGUAGGGCUAGGCUUGAACUAGGACCCUGAUUCCUGUUUUGUGUCUGUGUUGCUUAAGCUAUCCCAGCAAAAGGGUGCAGGCAGCUGAGGAGUAACAGGCUGGAAAUUCUGAUCUGUGGUUGAACAGAGACAGCCAGAGGGCCCCUCAAGGGAGUCCCCCCACCCUUGCAUGCCAAACCUCAGAAGAUGCUGGCAACAGGCAGUGCUAUUUCAGUAACCUUCAGGGGCUCGAGGCUUCAGUGGUCUGGCAAUACUGUUUACCGUAGCCAAGGUUUGUUUACCAUUAGGUUUUUCAUUUCCUAAAGAGGCAGACGUAAGCCCUGGGAAGUACUGAUGCUUAACAGUUAAAACUGAUACCUGUGAAGUAAGAAUGUCAGCUAGCCAGCACAGACAGACCUAGUCUAAUCCAGUGUAGUUGUCUGGAGCACUGUGUUGAAUAUGGACUCAGGAGGAAGAAUUCAGGGAUCCAUUGGUUAUGCCUGCCACGGGCCCAGGACUAGUGACUGGAACUGUGUCUGUGUGUUUAUUUACCAUUAGCAAAAGGUUACAAUAAGCCUUGGAUUUUAAUUACAGUGCAGUAAUAAUAGCUGUCGUCAUAAGAUUGUUGUGAGGAUUAAAUAAGAAUGUAGUUACGUGCUCAUUAAAUGCUAGUCACUCUGCUAGUGCUGGUAAGAGAUUUUAAAAGGAGAAAAAACUCCAGUGCCUGAUGCUGAUGUUGGCACUGGAGAGAUAAACUGAUACACUCUCUGUGGAGGUUGGUUUAAGUGGAGAGAAAUAGGCAGUCACUAGUAAUAUAGUAACGUCACUUCAGUUGUAAUAAGAGUACUGAGCACAAACAGAGGCAGUCUAAUGAGAUGAGGAAGAGUUGGGGAGAGGACAGCUCCUUUGAGAGGGUGAGGUUGGAGCAGAGGCAGGAUACAAACAUCUGGGAGACCGCUGAAGAAGAGAGGGUGAAAAGGCUCCAGGGCCUUGGGAGGAGCAGGCAUGUGGCACCAUUAGCUUUUGGGAGGUACAGUAAAAGAUAGCAUGCUUUACUUUGUAAACACUUUUGGAAACUAUAGUAUAAAAUUUUGAAACAUUAAAAAAUUAAUAGCCCAGUAAUAGAGCAUUGGCCUUGCAUGUGCGAGGCCCUGGAUUUGGUCCCCAGGGCUGUCUCUCCUCACUAAAAAUCAUCCUGAUUGUACUUGGGGUGUUUUUUUCUGACUGGUGUUGCUUCUGCUUUUCCCGUUGAGCCCCUGCUGCACAUGGCACAGUGCUAUAAUUCAUCUGGAAGCAUCUGGGAAGGCUUGGCUUCUGUGAAAUGUGAAAUGGGGAGUUGUUCCUUCCCUUCCUGCAAGGACUCAGCUGAGGACCUGGGGUUGAAACAGCCUAUGAUAUUUCAAACUGAGGACGAUCCAGGGACAUGUGCUCACGACCAGUGGAACUUCUCCCGUCUAAUGACCUUAAAGAAAUAUGCUCCUUCUCAAAAGCCACACUACUUCACAGAGCCAGAAUGGAAUUCCUAUUUGGAUCACCAAUGCAUAUGGUGAGAGAGGCAGACAUAAAACAUGUCCGACUCCACUCAUAGGGAACUCGAGGAGUGAGCGGUGUUGGUAGGAAUGAAAAUAAAAUGAGAUAACAUGUAUUGGGGAUUAGUGUGCUCCUGGUACCAGGCUCUCUGUUUUAUAUCCAUCAGUUUGUGUCAGUGUCUCAGAAAUGAUACUGUCAAGCUUCCCAAUGGAACACUGAUUUGUAGCUGUUCUGAACCUAGGCCCCCUCUCCCCUGCCACCUGGAGGCAGCCAGCCCUAGCUGGUCAUAGAUGGACCCAUGCUUCCAUGACAAAGUCAGAGAAAAAGCCAGAAUGACUUUGCUGAGGGCUCAGUGACCCCCAGCUGGUGGUAUAUGACACAUACAGUGAAUGAGAGAUGGGAGAGGAGGUAGGAGCCAAGACUGCUUUGUAAGCCAGAUCCAUAGUUAAGCCCUGUGGUUCAUGGCUUUGUCCCUGGCUCUUCUGAAGUUUAGGAUAGUCUCCAAUCUGGUGUUGCUGUUGUUACUUGGUGGGAGCUGAUAAGAUGCUGUCCCUUAACUGCAGGACCCUUUGCUGUGAGCCUUGCAAAGAUAAGGCUGGACUCUGGCACCAACAUUCCAGGCUAGGAAGAAGUGCCUUUGGCAAUGCUGCUGGCUGAAGCUGCAGAAUGAGCAAUUCCUCAGAGGAUAUAUGAGCUAUCUUCCUUAGCUGUGGGAUGGUACUUAAUAUUUCUCCAUCAAAACAUCUUGUUUAUCGAAACAGUGGUAUUUACAAGGUACCUUUGACUGCCAGUUAAGCUGCCCAAUGAAGAUCUGAGAGCAACAAGUUGUUUCUUAUCAUGUCAUGGGUCACUGCUAACUCUGAACCCUGCAUUCUGAUUUCCCCCUCUGGAACUGAAUAGAAAAUAAUCCCCUGGGAUUUUGGACUCUGUACUUAAUGAGUGAUUCACAACAGCAAAAUCACCUUCUUUCAGACAGACCAGAAAUCUAUAUUGAAAUCUUGAUGACUACAACAUUGUGUAUUUAGUACCUAAAACUUAGUGUCAUUUCCUGGCUCUGCCACAAGCUCACAGUGACUUCAUGCUAGUCCCUUGGCUCUUCAGCCCCCAGUUUUUCCUCCUUGAGAAGAUGUCAAGACUUGCUUUUCUAGGGUUACCUUUCAAAUGAGUGAUCGUAAUCGUGCUGACCAACAGGAUCUUCUUCUUCUUUUUCUCUUAAAUGCUGUGAUCCUAAAGACUGGGUAAUUUAUAAAGCAUAGAGGUUUAUUUGGCUUUUGGUAGGCUAAAAAAAAAAAAAAAGUCCAAGAGUAUGGGCCUGGCAUCUGUGCAACAUCUGGUAAAGACCUUGUUUGUUGCUUCAUGACUUGGUAGAAAGUAUCACAUGGCAAGGCAGAGCAAGCAUGCCAGAGAGCUGGGUCAGAAUCUGAAGAGAGGGUGGUGGUAUCAGGGGCAGGUACGGUACCUAAGCCAGGCUUUAUCAAGCAAACAUGGAGUAUACACUGGUGGCGUGAGUGACAGAUUGAAUCCAGUCAAGAAAAAGGCAGUAUUUGUAUUAACCACAUGGAGGUAGAUGCUGGAAAGUACUGCAUGAAUUUCUGAUCUUCAUUGCUCUAGCCUUGUGCUCUGUGGCUGCAUGCUGAUAGAGAAAACCAAACCACCUUUGGAGUCCCUUUCAACCUGAAUCUCUCUUACAUAGGAACUUGGAAUUUGAGACCAGAGGGGCCCAAGUGUUUGCCAACCUUUUCAUUCUUUCCUGUGUAUGGUUUAGGUUUCCCUAUUAGCAUGGAAGGACACGAACUAUACCCAAAAUGCACCCUCAGUGUGCUAAUGCCAUGUGUGCACAGGUCCUUUGUAGAUCUUAGAUAAGUUAACUAGUGUGCAGACCCAGGUGAGCUCUGUUUAUUCUUAGGAGCCUUUUAUCUGUAGCUUUAUCACAAUUUGGGUUACAUGAAGAUUUUUAAAAUAUAUUUUUUGUGCUCACAGGUUAUCUGUAAAAUUUGGGCUCCAGUGAGACCAAUGAGAACAGUAUCUUGGCAUUACUAUUUUCACAGCUCAGCCUGAGACUUAGUGAUGAAAUAUUUGGGGCAAACAUGUUUGUACUCCACUUAGGGGUAGGUUGGGGGUGGGGUGGGAGAAUAGAGAGAGAGGCACAAUUCACAGCACUUGCUGCAUGCUGAUAGGGAGAACCAAGCCACCUUUGGAGUCCCUUUCAACCUGAAUCUCUCAUACAUACACAAGUGCUCCCACGUGGAUCAGAAGACUCAAAGUGGAUUCUAAACUGAAAUUGUUGCUAGAAAGAGAGCCACUUUGCUGUGAGUUUUUGCCUAUACCAAAAGGUCACAAUUUGCUGAUGAAUUGAGACAAAAGGUGAAAAGGGAACAGUUUCUUUUCAAAUACCUAUGCCAUGCAUGCUAAUAUGGUGGCCCAGAGUGUGGUAAGAUUACAUGCUGCCUAGGGUUGGGUGCCCUCAGCUGGGAGCUGUUCUUCCUGCUGUCUGUCCUGUGGCCUCUCCCCCUCAUCCAAGGAGCAACUGGAGGCUAGAGGUCAGGUUCCAUAGUGCCACCUGGUUGAAGCAGAGGCCUCUUGAGUCUUUUGCCCUGGUCUAACUAGUCUGAUCACUUGGUUCCGAAGUUAAUUUCUGUCAUGUCAGGUGUUGGGUCAAAGGGUAACUUUUUUUUUCUUAGCUCUAAAUUUUAAUUACAGACAUGUAAUAAGCAGCUUGAUGCUGGUUAUUUGAAAUUGCUGUGUAAGCUUGCUGAGAUAAAUUAUUCUAAACCACUGUGGUCCUUCUCCUCGAAGGGAAGGCUCUUGCCAGCUUGAUGGCCCUAGAGACUAUCGAGUUCUGCAGUAUGUCAGAAGCACUAGGAAGUGCCAGGAAAGACCCUGGAAAGCACAGAGGGUGGCAGCUUCCAUCAUCCCUGAUAGGAAAAGGGAAGUCAGGUUGGAGGGGACCUAGGCACAUACGCAUAAGAGACAUUGCAGAAAGAACCCUCAGGGCUGUGCCAGCCAGACUGUAUCCUUCCCUCUCUGCUGAGGUUGAGGGAAAGCUGUGAGUGCAGGAGGAGGAGGAAUGAAAAAUGGGAGCCCAGAGCAUCUCCAGAGCCCUUCUAAUUGUUUCCAUUCCUCCUCCAAAGGCCUGUAUUCCCCUAGGUUUUCGGGGCUCCCAAACAUGGCUUUGUAUUGUCUCAGGGAGCUCCCAAAGAUGCCUUUUAAACCCCCAGAGAGCCAGACUCCAGUUCCCAGCCUCUCAGAGCUCAGGCCAGGAGGGCCCUGGACACAGGUGAUUUCAGAGACUCAUCUCUCCUCACUGGCAGCAACCAGUCAGCCUGAACUGGGCAUGUAGCCAGUGAAACCCAGGAAGCUCAGCAUGCUGGUUUUAAUCAGGAGGCUUGCUCUGUGGUAAUUGGGGCUCCUCGAGCACAGAUCUGGUCUCACUUAGGUUUCCAAAUGCCAGGCGUGCUUGUUUCCACAGAUAGAGUGUCUGCAGCUCACGUGGCUGCAUGCAAAUGCAGACUAUCCAGAAGGCAACCCCACUCACUCCCUGGUGUGCAGGCUUUUCUUUAAUGUGGAAUUUUGAGCUCUUCUGGGAGGGAUUUUUCCAGUCUUUGUAUUUUGCAAGGAGCGUAAGAUAAUACGUGGCAGUCUUUCUGGAGAAGUCGUUUAGAGAUGGACUGAACUUGCAAAAUGAAAACUGUCGGAACCAUCAUGUGGCUGAUUACACACCCUAUAAGCUGGGUGUCUCCCUUGGCUUCUCAGAGCAGGGCGGGUCCUGUGGUCAGGCAACCUGUGCAGUCUCAUACAUCCUCAGAAUGAGUGAGCUGCAGCUGCAGCCACAGCCUUGAUAUUCUCAAUAGUUUCUGACCCUCAUUACUCCCAUGUUCAUUUUGCCUAGGUGUUGCCAAUUCUACCUAAAUAAAUAAAUAAGUAAAUGAAUAAAUGUGUAUGUGUGUGUGUGUUUAUUUAUUUAUUUAUUUAUUUCAGGCACUAAUGGUAGAUACCAGGGGUGGCAGUUCGAUCUAACAACUUAUCAGCCAUAUACACUCUGGGGUUGAAAGGGGGCGCUCAAAGGAGACCUUUCAGACCCAAAGCUGUGGUGCAAGAAAAGAUCAGGCCCCUGAAGCACUGAGUGCAAUGUAUGCCCCGCAGCAGGCCCUUGAAGCACACCUCUGAGUGACCUUGUAGUCACUUCUCCUUCAUGCAACAAAUACCACUGAAUGCCUGCCACCACCAGCAGCCUUCUUCAUUUCCCUGAGGGUUUGGGGACACUGGAUAUUAAAGAAUGUGCCAGGUAGUAUUUCUCUUUGCUAUCUUGCACAAGACCUUCCCCUUUGUUUUUGUAAAUGGGACCUUGAACUCUCAGCCUCCAGAGCAUGUUUACUUAUUCACCCUACCUCGGGUAAUACCUAGUGCCAGGCACAAACCAGGUCAUACCCUGGUGACCUGUCCCUAAGAUCUGGGUAUUACUAUGUGCUAACUCAUUCCUCCAUAAAGCUUCAAAGACCAGUUGUUGCUCUGUUUAACAGAUGAAGGAACUGAGGUAGAUGAACCCUCCCAGUGGCACCUCUCUUGUUCAUAUGGCCUGGCUGAUAUCAUCUUUGUAAAGUGUGUACAUGGUAACAACUCAUUUAUCUCCCGGGAUGUUUUGAGUUGCUGUUCCCAAGUGGCCUGGAGGCAGACACAAUUCAUGCUAUAAAUUGCUGUUCCUCUGAGAUUAGCCUCCCUUUUGAACCAGGUGGCCUGCAAGAAACUACCACACUUUAAAGAAUGUGGUCAGACCACAUCUUACCCAGGAGACCACUGAGGUGCAUAGGAGCUAGCCAAUAGGAGGGCCCAUCUGCAAGCCAGCCCUGGAGCCAGCACCUCCAAUUUGAGGAUGUCUAAUCAUCCUCUUACUGUCUUCCCACUGCCAGCCACUCUCUAGCUGCUGGCCUCAUUCUAGAGAAGGUUCCAGAACCCCUUGAGCAAGAAAAUGUACACAAGCUCCUGUACUAAUUGUUCCACCAACAAUAAGUUAUCAUUAAUCCUUUCAGUCUCUAAGCCAUUCCCAAAUCAAGAAUCAUGUCUCCAUUUUAGUGUAUAUAGUUUCACGUGUUGAGAAAUGGCCUUAAGAAUGUGGGUUUGGCAAUGCUUAGGUCUAUAUAAGAUGCCCAGCUGUGGUAGCUUUAGAAACUACCACAAAUUUCUCUUAGGCUGUUUCCCCCUGUAAAAAUAAUGGUAGAACCUAUUAUACAUAGUUCAUGGGAAGACUAAAUAUUGGGUUGCAUGAAAAUAGUUCAUAGUAUAUUUUAAGUGCUCAAUAAGCAGUAAGUUGCUGCUAGAUAUCCUCAGAUAACAGAGUAGCCUUUGGGAGGGGAAUUGUUUUUAAAUGGGAAUUGUGAGGACAGCAAACUCAUUUGAUGGUAGACUACUUUAUUGUUUUAGAUACAAUGUUGCCAGACUGCUCUUAGACUCCCAAGUGCUGGUAUCACAGGUAUCUGCCACUGCUCUAGGCUAGAGUGUGGUCCAACACAGAAGCAGUGAAGUACCAAACUCCCUCCUCCCAGGGGAGGAAAGCAGCUCUUUGUAUAGAGUUCCUCUCAGUCCUCCAGGCAAACCCUGAAGCUGAUCACCACCCUGACUGCCACACAGAAAAUAGCCAGUUUUGCCAGUUCCAGCCCAGAUCUUCUACCACAAGCCUAGUGUCCCUUACUUUUUGAAGACAUUUUAAAAGUGAGCAGACAAAAGGGUUUUCUCAGGGAUUACAGUGUAAAGGAAUCAAACGGUCUAGUGGCUCAUGGACAUUUGCAACCAAUUUGGAAUUCCCUUUACAGGCAAAGCCACUUGCCAUUCACAGAAUUCCUAUGAGCCCCUUUUCUGAAUGGAGGGACAUAAAGGUCCCACCCAAGCACAGUAGCUGUUUGAUUGCUUUUUCUGUAGUGCUUGCUCCCCACUUUAUAGUAUGACUCCUUCUCAGAAGAGAAAUGUGUAAUAAUAACCCUGGUGUAGAAUGUGAGAACCAGGGCUGCACCUAAAUAAUUGCCUCCUAUUGAAGGUCCACACACACAAUGUGCUUUUUGGUUUUGUUUGCUGUCAGUUGCUGUUCCUGAAGCGUGUUCCUCCUCAGUGACUGAGAGGGUGGCAGCUCUAGCCUUCUACACCUGGCCUUGGGGAGGCUGAGGGUUAGUUACAGCAUCAUUUGAAUUCCAGGAUAAGCCUUUCUUUUGGAGGAAAUAUGUUUGGAUCAGUUUGGAGAGUCCUCUGAGGGUAGCUAUGACAGCUGAGGCCUUGUCCUGGCCACUGGGCUGACCUAGGGAGUAAACCCCACCUUCAGAGUUUUUAGACUUCUUGGCGGCAGAUAAAUUUAGAAGCACUUGCAAUGUGCCUUUCUGGGUUUGUAGCACGGAAGUGCUGUGCUCCUGUCAGCUUUCCUCAUGGGUCAGGUCCCUGCAGCCUUUCUGGUGCCUGACAAGCUUGGGUGUGUGUGAGACCUGCCAGGAUCUCACAGGAUAAGAACCAGAGGAAGCAAGAAGCCCAGAGGUGAAGUGGCUCAGGAGAGAGGCUAGCCUUUGGAGAGAGAGAAUCGGCCACUGCCAUGUUUUUCACAAGCUAGUAAGACCAACUCCUUUGAGACCUUGGCCAAAGAGAGGCCACAGCCAAUUGCCUCUCCUAGAAAUAUUAUGCAGUGGUUGCCGCUUGUUCCAACACUGUUUCUGAGAUAGGAAGAGACCUGCGUGGAGGCCGGUGAGUAGUCACGGGUGAGGCAAGACAAGCCUAGGGAAGGUCCCGACUAUUGGAGAGAAACAGCGUGACGGAUUUGGAAGUUGUCUUGAGAUCGGAAGAGUCGGCUUAGGUUGUCAUGCCUAAGCAAGAGGCAUGUCAGCAGGCAAGAGGUUGGGAGGGAGGGAGGGAGAGGAGAAGGGAGGUGGGACCAUGUUUGGAAGGAGAAACUGAGUGUGGGAUAUCCAGUGAAGUAGUAGGUUAAAGGUUGGCUGGUGGAUCUAAAAGAGAGGACUCAGAAGUCAUCAGUCCACAAGUGCAAGAACAGUACUCAAAGGUGCAUCUCCAGCCCUUCCUGGCUGUCAGCCCUCUCCUGCCUUAUCUCAGGGUCAAGCACAGAGGAUACCCUACCCUGUGUUUGGCCCCCUUUAGAAACAAGAUACAGUCCCCAUGGUUGCUUGUACCUGAUAGGGUACUGCAGAAAGGCUCCUCCCCCAUACUCUGUCUCAGUCUCAAGGGCGGCAGUCAGCUCACAGGACACCACAGUUAGGGAGAAGUCUAGGUUUGUUAAGUUCUGCCUCCAUUCAAGAAUAAUCUAAAACUAUGAAUGCAAAUUGAACAAAAGUGAAUUUGUAAGUAAAGAGAAAUACCACUAAAGACUUGACUCCAGACAGAUCAUUGACACACACACACACACACAGAGCACACAUUUUAACAAUACUUCCUCUCUACAUUCAUUGACCCUGAUGACAUAAUCACGUUCCACUGGGCAGAGACCAUGCCCCAUGCAUGAGCAUGCAGAGGCUAGAGGAUCAUGUCAGGUGGCCUCUUUUACCAAUUUCUGCAUUAUUGCCUUGACACAGAAUCUCACCCAGCUGAAAGCUCACUGCACUGGGCUAAGCAGCCAGCAAGCUCCUGAGAUCCACCUGCCUCUGUCCCCACCAUGCCCGGUUGUCUAUGUGGGUCACAAGGAUUUGAAUGCAGAUCCUUGCGAUGGCACAGGACGCACCCAUUUAGACUUCUCUUUAGUCCUUUCUGUGAUGCUGCUUAAAGGAGUAGUUUAAUCUUCCUUUUAUAAGAGGUAACCAAGAGUUCUUAUUUUUCUUUUGUCACUGUUUAAAAAACUAUAUUUGAUCUUCAUAACUCAUUAUAGGUGAUUUUUUUUUAAAAAAAGCAUUGUCAAUUUUUGGGAAACCAUAUCACCCUUUCACUGCCGAGCUGUCAAAUUUGGUUCUACAGAUUAGCUUCUGAUUCUGCUCACUCAUUUCUCCUCCAUUCCUCAUCUGUUUCUUAGGUUGAGCUCAAGUAUAUGUUAUGAUUUGAGCUCUGGCCCUGUAUCCAUGCAUCAUAACUCACUUGGCAAGUGGGGUUAUGGAUGUCAUUGAUACAUCCAGGUGUUGUGGAUGAGGGUUGAUGACAUCGACUCUAUUUGGAAGUGACCUUCUGCCAGCCAACCCAGCAUGACUGUGUCCUCAAGUUCAGUUUCCCUUCCCUCUCCGUUCCAGAACUGCUCACCUGACUCAUGGGUUCAAGUAGUUGUGAUAGGAACAGCAGUCUUCUCUGCCUGUAGUUAGUAUUCCCCAUAUUCAGUGUGAACACACAGCUUGGUGUCUUCUGAUGGUUUGGAAGGAUCCUGUACAAGACAGAAUUACCUGAAGUCUGACCACAGGGGCUGUUUCCAGAGUCCUGUAAGUGCCCAAACUCUGUGUGUACAACAAAACUUUAACUCUUGAGGACAGAGGCUAUUGAAAUGUAAUGCAGACUUUUCUGUUUUCAUGUGAAUGUGUCUCUGAUAAUUCAAGGUCAUAGUGUGAAUAUUCCUAUAUUGCUGUGUGGUCAGGGAGUAAGUCACCAGAUGUUGACCCUGAUGCUAAAUGGCCCACAUUGUAGUCUUAAGUCUUAAUGCCUAUUUUCUAUUUUUGCAAAGUUUUAAUCUUGAAUGGUGGUAGUUUUGCUGUUUAAAAAAAAAAGCUGUGGUCCUCUGCAUUAGUAAAAGGUACCACUAUUAAAAAAAAAAAAGCUGUGGUCAAGAAACAAAACCAGCCAGCUUUCUUCCUUCUACUAGUACACUCUUUUGAGUAGUUGAUAAGUGUAAAAUGAGGGUCCAGGAGAUGUACAAAUAGUUAUAAUCUUGCUGUACAUCUGGAGCUCUAAGAUCAUCACAUGUGUCCACUCAUGACUGUGGCAGUGACCUAUAAGGUAGGCACCAAUGUUAUUAUUUGCAUCCUGAAGGUGAGAAGGCCAAGGAAGAGACAUUAAGUAACGUGCCCAAGGUCAAGAGAUGAUAGGCCAGGGUUCUGUUGUAGGCUGGGUCUGAAGCCGUACUCUUACAACGCCCUGGGUUUUUUCAGUAUGUAAUCUCCUAUUUCACAAUAUCUUUGGAGGAAGUAUGAAGAGAGCUGUAUUUAACAAUGAGGAAGUUAAGGCUCAGAGAGAUGCUCUGCCUGAGACCUGAUUCCAAAGCACUAUAUCCUUAACUCCUCCAUAUUGAGACUUAGAGACUCAUCCAACUGUGGGACCAGGUCAAAUUCAUAAACUCCAAUGAGAAGGGAGCCAGGCCAGUAGAGCACAGUCUCAGUCUCCAAGGAAAACAACCAUCUUAAAGUGUAUAGAAAUUGUGUGCAAAGAGGGAACUGUGGUGUGAGAUGAGGUACCCCCUCCCCCCACAGAGUUGUGAUUACUGUCAUGGCAAUCCUGUUGACUGCUCACUCUUUUGUCAUUUCCUGGUGAGUUCUGGACAAUAGAAAUUACUCAAGAGAUGGGUACUGGGAUGUGGCAUUGCAUUCUUCACAAUGAUAGUCGUAACCCAGGCUGUGCACAUAAGGAGAUGGGGAAGGAUUGGACCCAGGCUGUGCACAUAAGGAGACAGAGAUGGGAAAGGACUGGAUAAAUAUGUAUCUAGUUGAGAACCUCAUUGUUUCUCAAUUAUGAUCAUAUGAGUUUUUUAAAAAGUGACCUAGUUCUUGGUGACUGGUUUCUGAGCCAGUGUCAUGUUGUCCAUGAACAGUGGGUAAUACUGAAUGACUCUCGGUGUAAGAGGGAGGGCUGACAAUAGAACAGUACACCCAGGAGACUCCAUACAUCUUUCUGAAUUUCUUAGGACAUCAAAUUCUGAGGACUCCAUCCAGUGACUCAUGUAGGGAAGUCUGUUCCACACAACCCCACACAGACUCUUCUUGGAAAUUCCUUUGUCUUUUCUCUUUCCUUUUCUCUUUUAGAAGCCCCCUCCUAUGCUUCUGGCUGUUGAUUGAUUGCUGUGUGGCUGAAAAAUAAAGUAACCAAGUAUCAAUUCAAUCUAUAAACACUUUAACUACUGGCUAUAUAGUGAACUCACCGGAACUCUCACUAUAAAAUUUUCCUUAAAAUCUUUGAAAAUUACAGAAAGCAAUAACCCCUUAUAUAAAAUAAAGAAAUGACUAUAAAGAAAAUGGCUCAGCCUUCAGUCUUCAUUUUCCUGAAGCAGAAAUACAUGUAUAUGAAAACCAAAACAAAACAAGCCCGUAGCUUCUUGACUUCUCCAAGGCAACCUGUCAGAUCACAGUGGGCGCUGCAUGCUUUGAGCAUCAGUGGUCCUGUUGAGUUGGCAGUGUUGUACACCCAUGACAACACCCAUGACAUCAGUUUAAAGUCAAAGUUCAGACCCCUUGCAAAUACUUCAUUGUUGUAUGAAACUUAGUUUCAUUUGGAAACUCAGUUCUGUGUACUAUUAUUUUUCUUGUAACUUAGUUGCAUCAUCUCUUUUCAUUGAGAUUUGGCUGGCUCUUAAUAUUGUUGAAAAUAUAAUGGUGUGAGUUGAUAUUAGAUAACUUUGCUGUCAGUGACUCUGUCAUUACUCGUGAGAACUGGACAUGCUGUAAGGCAAGGUCGCCUUGUGCCUCAGGUGAGACCACAUGCCUGCAGCUUAAGGAGAAUACAUAUGCGGCAACAAAUGGAUUUCUCAUUUUGUGUUGUUUGUUUUUGAGGCAGGGUCUUGUGUUGCCUAAGGCUGACCUCAGAUUCCCCACCCUCUUGCCUUGGCCCUCCAGUUACAGGUGCCAGCCACCACACCUGGCUCAGUGCGAGUGGUUUCAAAGGAAAACGGUAAGGGGAAGGAGGAAAACCUCUCCGUUCCUCUCUCCUCUGGCUCUGGAGAUAGAAAUCAUCUUGAUACGACAGACACAUGGAUCCAAUGUCUUUUGUUUUCUCUCCUUAUUUCACAUGUUUCUAGUCAAGGCCUGAGCCACCAGUGCAUGAUUUUUACCAAAUGAAAGAUUAUUUUCUGUCAGAAAGGCAGGACUCGAAUAACUGCUCUGUAGACUGGAUUUUUGCUCGCAGGAAAGAGCUCCGUAUGGAGUCACUGCCACCCUGCUGGUACCUCCACGACCAUGGACCGUUUCCAACCACAAGAGCUUCCUGUCGGGAGGAAGAGAUGGAGUGUGACUGUGUGUACGUGUAGAAGCAUGCCUGUCUGGUAAAGACUUCACCAUGUGCACACCCGGGAAGACACUGCCAGAGUUACCGUGUGGUCCAUGCACUACAGUCUCUUGGGCCUGUGCUGGCAUAUGCAAUACAGAGACCCAGCUUAGAGUGUUGGUUUCCUGCCAGAGGAUUCGAGGGCCUCUUCAACUCAAGUGCACCUGCAGGCCACUCUUCCCCAUCCUGAGCUGUACACACUGAGAUGGAAGGCUGUUGUCUGAACCGUAUACUCUUCUGAACUGACACUGUUCCAGAUGCCUCUCCAAGUAGACGUGACUCAAGUGCGAGGCCCGGUGUCAGCAUUUGUGGCAGAGAUUGCACCUAGCCAGAAUGCCUUCUGGAAUCCUCUUAAAGGUCCUGAGAACUGAGGCUGGCCGAGCAAAGCAGAGCCACAUACCCUCCCUACCAUUUAGGAUCUUCUACCUUUGAGGAGCAUGCUAGCUGAAAUCACUGCACUGUGGCUCUCAGGCUGGGUGGUAUUUAAGAGCCCUUUGCAGCCGGAUUACCUGGGCUCAACUCCUGGUCUAUCACUUCUGCCUCUGUCCACCGACAGGUGCCUUGACCUCUCAGUGUCGGUUUUUUCAUGCGUGGAAGGAGAGUGACACAUCGUAAGUCACUAGUGUGCCCUCUGUAGUGCUUGCCCCUAGUUUCAUGUGAAUGUUGGUACUGCUUUAUCCACCCAGGUUAAAUGCAGCUAAGUUGUUCCACUGCAGUGAAGUGUAGAGCACACAUUAGAGUUCACAGUUAAACACAAAUGCAUUUGAUCCUCCUCUGGGCCGGAAGCUUCCACAUGGUGCCACUCAUGUAUUCUUUGCAAUUGAUUAAGAUCACUUUGGAUGUGAGGAAGCCGUUUCUGACGUUAAUACCAGAGUGUAAAGUAGAACAUGCUUGACUGGUUAAUAAAAGCAGGAUGGAGUUAGAAAACAUUGUGAGCUCUGUGAUGGGGUUGCCUAGACCAGCAGUUAAUGGUUGGCUGGCCAGUUGGGGGCUGCUGCUCCUUGGAAAGGAGGGUUUCUGGGCCUUCCUGUGACUCCCUGUCCUGACCAAUGAGGUAAGAUCACCAUGGCCAUCUGCCUUAGUUCUAUAAAUAGCACCAAGGAGAGAAGAAAUGCUAAUGGUUCCAACUUAAGAAAGUGCCCUUUGGCUUCUGCUGGAGUUGACAGGAAUGUAGAAAAUUAAACACACCAGGAACAAAUCUACCAGGGCCAGGAAGUUGAUUUGAGAUGUCUUAUCAGGGGCUGAUCUUAACUCUUCCCUGCCAGAGAGGUGCAAACAAGUGAGAUGCAGAUAUGGCUGCUAUUUAGGACCAGAACCUGAGUAGCCUAUACCAUAAACCAGGAAUUUCCCUGCUGUCUUCCUGACUGGACCUUUGGGCAUGUCACCAGAGUUUAAUUGCCCACAAGAGUAAGGAGGCCAUGGCUCUAAGGAUGUAGGCUCCAUGUAUCAGCUGGUCACAAGGACAUCAUGCCUUUUCUGCUGUUCUGAUAUAUUUCCCUAAACUCAGAAUCACUCAAGGGCCCCAGGCUCAACAGCCAACUCAAAUUGCCAAGAGAAACAGCAGGCUCAGGCCAACUCUUGGCUGCCUUUCUGCCUGUGAUCUGAACCCUUCUGGCUUCUUAGCCUAGGGAUGAGCGAGCCUUCCCAUGCCAGAGUCCUUCACAGCAGGAACGCCUGCUCUCAGGUUUCCUAAAGAAAGCAUUCCUCGAUGGAUCUGCACCUGCUAAUUCUGGGUUUCAGAAAGGCAGGCAAGAGUUUAAUUUUAGUAAAGAAGCCAGGGAAAGAAUAAAACCCUGUCUCUAUGUCAUCUGAGAAGACUUAAAUAAAUCAUAAACCCUAUUAAAAGCUAUUUUUGAAGGGGACAAAAUGGCACAGAAAAUGAACACACACACACGUUAUACCCACACAUACAUGUACCUACACACACGUGUGUGUAUAUAGUUUGGCUCUAUAGAAACAUACGCUAGUAAAUGCAAUUGCACCAGCUUACUUAGCCACAUUGUUUAUACGGCCUUUGUUAAGAAAGGCAUCCACACAUUCGCUGAUUAGAUUUUUUUGAUUGUUUUUUUUUUUUGAUGUUGAUACUGUCAAGUGACCACUUGGAAAAUCUAGUUCUGAUUCCCAAAUCUUUGUCUAUAAUCACAGUUUCUGAAAACAUAGUUUGUUCCUGCUCCCAUUCUUUGUCAAGGACGUGCCUUUUGAGCAGCACUGAGUGCCAGGAAGAAGAGGUCUGUAGAGGGGCGCACAGGCUGCUCUCUGACCCAGGGAAGAAGCAGCCAUGUCAGAGCCUUUCAGGGAUGGGAGUCUGUUUUCAAUACCAGCUUUGGAAAGGUUUGAAAACCCAGAAACACCACCUGGGCAUUUCUAGUCUCCUCUUCCCUGUACCCCUUUACUGGCAAGGGCACAGGGGUUAAGUAUAGUCUCCCACUCCGUGUCCCAGUAAAUUGCAUGAGUGGAUAUUUCAAGUUCACCCAACUAGAAUGGAGUUUAUGAUUCACACUCCUUAAAACAAUCAUACAAGAGACAGAACAAAGGAAGGAAGAUAAAAAAGGUGAAGGUAGUUACUGUACUUAACAAGUUGCCCCAGCUUAGAACCUCUUAAAUUUUCUUUUUCUUUUUUUUAUGGUGUUGGGAACCAAACCCCGGGGCCUUGCUCCUGUCAGGCAAAUGCUUUGACACAGAACUACAUCCCCAGUCUACUAACACUCCUCUCACUGGUUGUCUUUAUUGAGUAUCAAGACUGUUAGUUCAUCCCCAUCCACCCCACCCCCAAUUUUUUUCCAUAAGCAUAGAAGAUGAAAAAGCUACAAGGAGAUGUAUGAGUUCUUAUUAUGCCCAAUUACACUUGGCAAGCCCAGGACAAAAAUUAAUGAGACCAGAUUAUUCUUCUGUAUGAGAUGCUGUCUUGCCCAGCCUAUUUUAGCUCUUGCCAUGCUGUAGAUCGUCAAACAAAUUAAUAGCACAGUAAUGGGUGCCUUUCAGGCUUCUCGUUUGUAUUAAUGAAUUCUACUUCAUCCGAUAACCAGUGAUUUAUAGCACUGGAACUCAUGACUUGGCUGUAAAAAUUAUCUUUUGUCAUUCUUUCUGGGGUGGAGCAGCCAGCCUAACAAGCUAAAUGGUAGGGUUUCAUAAUUGAAUUCUAAAAUGUGAAGCGCCUAGUAUGAGAACAUUUCAUUCUGAUCAUGGCUUUGGAAAUUGAAAGGCCUUCAGUGUGUCUCCCACUAUCCAAGACUGAAUGCCGUCUGAUUUGGGUUUUCACGACUUGCGAAGGAAGAGUGUGACAUGAUUCUUAAUGGAGGGUAUUCAUGCUGAGCUGGCAUGGCAGCCUGCAUGCAGCAGUCUGUAAAAUAGCUCCUCCAAGAGAAAACAGUGUUAUUUUAAGAACCAUACGAGAUGUGUUCCUCACCUUGGGAUAUUCCUGCCCUUCACCCUGAUUCCAUCAUGUGCAGAGCUCUGAUCAUGUGUCAUCAGCCAUGCCACCUGCCUUAUUUUAUUCUUCAUGGUGGCUCCAUGAGAUAGGGAGCCAACAGAAUUCCCGUUAUACAGGUACAGAACUGGAGCACAAAGAGGGUGCAUAUCUGAUGGCCAUUCCCAAUGCCAGGAUGAACCCCAUCCCCCCCAUGUUGUCUCCCAUGGCAUCUACCUCUCCAGGGUUUGUAGCUUUCAUAUUUCAAGUUCAAGGGCAAUGCAGAAUGGGAACCCCAGAUGAACAAGCUUCAAAUGUCCUUUGAUAUGAGGGCUCUGAGUAUAAUUCUUGUCAGUUUGAAGCUAGAAAAAGGAAAGCUGGUUAACACAUGGCAAGGUCCAUUUGCUUAAAAGGUAUCAUUCAGAAUUCAUUCGCUGGGUUAAAAUGCUCAUUGGGAGUGGUAAGGUGGCCUGCCUCAGAUGUAGCAAGAUGGGCUGGACUGGCCUGCAAAGCUAUAGCCUUCACUGGCUUUCCUAACAACUUCCUUCAUUGUUGCCCAUGAGAAGUAAGCAUACUGCAGGAGUCCUGAAGCAGGCCCUCCAAACAAGGUAAUCGGAUACCCUUGGAGAUCUUGGCUUGAACAUCAGAGAAAUGUCUUGUUUAAAUGAUUUUUUAAAAAAACAAAAAACAAAAAAACAUUAAUUUAGGUUCAUUUUCUCUGGUCCAUGACCACCAUGCAUCGCUGUAUCCAAGAAACCAUCUGAAGACAGCUUAUUUUUCAUAAGCAACAGUCUGGAAAUUUAAUUGUUAUGCCAUUCCAACCUCCAGUCUAACCCCUGCCCAGUCCAGCCUUUUUUUUUUUUUUUAAGGACUUUGACUUUGGUUCUUUCAGUCCUUCCUAUUUUACAGUCAACAGCCAUUCCAGAAAAACAUCUGUUAGAAAGAUCCAUCCCCUGUAGUGGGAAUUAAGUACAUAUUUUAACUUCAGACACUCUUGCUUAAUGUUUUCUACAUUGCAUAAAGCAGAGGAUUAAUGCAGAAGUCCCUGAAAAGCUCCUAUGAAACCUUAAGCUGUCUCUUCAAUCACUCAAGCAUUCAUGAACCAGAAUUUUGAAAGAGGCCAAGGAAGUACCAAGGACAAAAUUAAAACAGGGAUCUCUAUUAAUGUAAGCAUUCGUGCAGUUGCACAUAGGAAGGACUAACCUCGUUUGCUUUGCUUUUUUCCAAGCCAGACACAGCCCCUUUUAUCUUUCCCCAAAUGAAAAGGGGAAAUGACUUUUAAAAAUAAUUGGUUUAGAAAAAUAGAAAAUAAAUGAUCCACCCCUCAUCUCACAGCACAUACCCAAUUUCUUUUCUGUAAUUCUUAUGCUAAUUUAAAGGUAAAAAUUCAGGAGUGACUUUUUAUGCUGAGUGAAGUUAUAUAUGUGACUGAGUUUGGGUGGUGGUUUGUAAUGACUUGUGGGCACACAUUUUGUGGUAUGGUAUGUUCUGGAGAAAUUGGAGCCAAUGGCCCUGGGUUCUGGUUCUGUUUUAUGCUCUCCAUGUGUAAUGUUGAACAUGAGUGUUAAUGACUGUCUUAGUCAGUUGGUACUGCUGUAAUAGAACACUGGAAAUUGGAUAAUUUAUGACAAACAGAUUGAUUUUUUCAUAGUUAGGAGGCUAAGACAUUCAAGAUUUAAGGUGUCACAGAUUUAGUUGUCUUCAUAGGACAGAAGGCAAAUGGGAGGCCUCUUAAAUGGAGACCUUAACCACCUUGUGUGCUAGUCACCUCAAGACCACCCUCUCUUAAUACUGUCAUAUAUGCAACACCUGAAGAUGGAUAAAACAGCGUAGGACAUAGCAUAGAGUGCAAGGGAUGCCAUGAAAAUGAAUAUAUUGUCCAUUCACUCACACCGUGAAGACCGCCUCACAUUGUAUGCGUUCAUUCUGAUACUCUAAAGCACUUGAGAAAAUGUUAGCUGGGGUUUGGUUGACAUGCUUCAAGCUCUAACCACUCAGAGACACAUAAUUGAAGAUACUGGGAAGAACAAGCCUCAGUUAGCAUGGCUAACGUGAGGCUAGGGACCUGUGAGGAAAAGCAGAAUUGAUUCAUAAACUCAUGGAACAAACAGCCACGCUCCAGGCAGGAGCCAGGAAGUGGGGAUGUAAAAUGAAUGUGUGCAUAAAGGACCAAGAUGAAAUCCACAUUCCUGAGUGAACUGUGUUUUGAAGAUGGUUUACAAGCUGUGAUGUCUGUCCAUAUGUGUUAGUGGAUGUGUGUGGUAAUGUACCUGCCUCCUAUGCACAAGGGCCUGUGCUCAUCUCUAGUAUGUAAGGCAGUAGGUAAAUAUUGAUGGCAAGGGCCUGGUGGCUAGUGAGGCUUAGUUCUCUAGAGUCUUUGAAUUGGCCCUUUUAUGUUUAUUUACUCUAUUUUACCAUACCUGAAACCUCCCUGUUUUCUCUGUAGGGUAUUGGUGUUCUAAGGCAUUCUCAAGUGCUAUCUCUCCAGGCGCAGGUAGAGUCAGGACACUCCUUAUUUCCAUUUCCUCAUCUUUCUCUAUUUUACUAUUUUUGGAUAUAAGCAUUUCCUUUGAAGCACACUGCUUCAGAUUGUGCCACCUGCUGUCCUUCCUUGUUCCAGUCACAUGCAGAUUUUAGUUUCCAAUGCUUGCAUCUUUUCAUGAAGAUACUGACUGGUCCUCCCACCUUGCCUCUCCCACCAUCACAACUCCUCCCUUGUUAUUCAACAUCAGGAUCCAUAGUAUUCCCGAGCCUCGUGGCACCUUGGCCUGUGGCUGACAUUGGUUCCCUGCUCUCAUGUCUUCCCUGGACUGUGUCGUGACUGUCUGUGGAAUAGCCUAAAGCUCCCCUCCCCCUAACCGCCACUCCACAGCUCUCCAGCUCACUUCUUUUGGUCCUGACACUUUUAAGUGUUUUGCCAUUCAAGAAGCCCUCCUCAUUUCCUUCUUGCUUCUCUCCUCAUUUAAGAGAUCUCAGCCCAUCGUUUGCCCUGACUUUCCACUACAUUCCUUUCUUGAAAAUCCUAAACCCAGUUUAUCCCAAUUCUGCUGGUCUUUUGCUGACACUUCCACACCUCAGCAUGACUGGAGAGGAGCAUUCACACAGCCUGAUUGGAAUCACUUAGCAUGAGUGCCGUAGAUGGAAUAUUUGUGGUCCCCUAAGAGUCGUGGUUUGAAUCUUGCUUUCAUUCCAGUGUGAAGGUAUUGAGAGGUGGGACUUUCAGACAGAAAUUUGGCCAUAAAUAUGGAGUCCUUGGGGCCAUGAUGCCCUUAUAAAAGAGACUCCCUGGGAAUACAAGAGGGAGUUCUCACCAGACCCCAAUCAAUUGGCAUUGUAAUUCAAGCCUCCAGCCUCCAGAAUUGCUAGACAUAAAUUUGUUAUUUAUAAACUGCUCGGUCUUUAUUAUAUGAUGACCCUUUUGAUAGUAGCCUGGGAUCACACAUUGCCCCGUUCCUUUCUGUUUUGCUCAACAGUUCUGCUCAUUCCGUAGCUAGUUGGCUUGUUUUCCUUCACUUCCUUCUCUUUCUGAGGCCUUAACCACCCAUCAUGCCCUUUGUUUUCAACCUCUGACCUGUUUUAUACAUCACAGAGGAAAAAGUCAUCCGAAGGAUAUCUCCUUGGGUUUCCUUAGUGAAUUGAAAGACCUUGCACUGCUUUCCUUGUGUUCUGCGUCCCUCCAGAGGAACACCUGUUCCAACCUCUAUCUGUGGUCAGCCUCACUGGUGGGACUCCACCUCUAGCCUGUGGGAGGUCACUGUUCCUCUUUUCCUCUCAUCUCUGACUGUUCUGCUGUCUGAUGUAAGUAGCACCCGAAAUUCUUCCCAGUCAACCUCAUGCCCACCCUGCCCUCACAUCUCGGUGUGCCGGCUCACAGGGAAGCCCAGGGAAAGCAUGGUUAGAAGUUAGUGGCAUCAUUGUCUCAUUACCCUUCAUAGCUAAAUCUAAUCAUCGAGAUCGUGCCCUCAAUAUUACACUGAUAUCACUCUUGUGGAGGUGCAAGCUGAGAAGGUUUCUUUCUUGUCUGAGAUGCUUGGGAUCAGAAGUAUGCAGAUUCCUUGCAAAUUUUGGAAUAUGUUGUGUAUUCAUAAGAACAUAUCUUAGAGAGGGGAUCUGUGAUGGUUUGAAAGAAAAUGUCCCCCAUAGGCUCAUAGGGAAUGACACUAUUAGGAGGUAGCCUUGCUGGAGUAGGUGUGGCUUUGUUGGAGGAUGUGUGUCUCAGUCUCUUCGUAUUGCCUAUGGAUAAGUCGUAGAACUCUCAUCUUCUCCAGCACCACGUCUGCCUGUGUGCCACCAUGUUUCCUUCUGUGAUGAUAGCGAACUAAACCUAUACACUGUAAGCCAGCCCUAAUUAAAUGCUUUCCCUUAUAAGAAUUGCCAUGGAUAUGCUGUCUCUUCACAGCAAUAGAAACCCUAACUAAGAUAGGAGCCGAGCCUAAAUAUGAAACCCAUUUAUGUCUCUUAGACUCAUAGCCUGAAGGCAUUUCUGAACACAUUUCUCAAGUCUGCACUUUGACUGCCAUCUGUCUCAUGACACUGCAUGUGGGACUUUACAUGUUGACACUCAAACUUGGAUUUUGGAGGAUCUCAGGUUUCUGUUUUGGGAUUUAGGCUGUUCAGUUUGCAUCAGCAAAUUCAGUGCUAUCCAAUUCUAGUCCUUUCUCAGUUCAUUUUACUUGACCUCCCCCCCCCCCCAAAAAAAACAACAACAAACAAACAGUAUUUCUUUUUCUUUUGACAUUUAGUUUUACAUAAUUUCAGAUGUAGAGAAAGUUGCAAAAGUAGAAAAAGGACAAGGAAUUUCUAUGUGUCCUUCCUACAGAGUCCCAAGUGUUAGUCUAACCCCCUUGCCCUACUUCUCUCGCUCCAUGUGGGCCCACGCCUGUACAUGCCUAUCUGAACUUUGUGAGGUGUCUCCUCCCCCUCAGUCCUCUUUGUAAGGUCUUCCUUCUCUCCUAAGGGCUAGUGGACCCCUCCUGGCAGGUUGACUCCCUGAGGGUCCUCUUCUUUGCCUAGGUCCAGCCCAGGGUGAUUUUCUCAGUUCUGGGACUCCAGUGUCACAGGCCCAAGGCGCUCACAUGCUGGGAUUGCUUCCUUGCUCCUCUCUCAGUGUUCCUUCCCUCUGUCCCCAUGUCUGUAAACAGCACAUUAACCUACACUGCCACACACCUAGCCCUUGCCCUCACCCUUCUCUCCUCCACCCACACCUGAUCAAAGCCUGCCAGGAGACCCUGUCCUCAGAAACUCCACUGUCUCCCCUGCUGUGUGCUGGUCUAAGGCACUCACUGUCCUCGCUCCUCUGCUGCUUCCUAACCUGUAUUCCUGCUCCAGCUCUAUGGUUCGCUGGACACUGGAACCAGGUGCUUUUUGUUUUGCUUUGGGCUGUAAGUUCUACCAUACUCCCCUAGCCAAAGAACUCCUGUCUCACUUAGCAUAAAAUUCCAACUCUUUGUGAUCUGACCUCUGCUUUCCUAGGGAUGCACUCUUACUGUAACUUCCCAUCAGCCCAUGGCAGCCACCUCCUCUUAGUACAGGAGCACCUUUACCACCACCUCCACCUCCAAACCUGUUCUCUUUCCUUGUAUUUCUUCCUUGUUCAUUUUCCCCCUACUAACAACAACUACUUUAUGGGGCACAUGGAUGUGUGACUCACUCACUCUCUCUCUCUCUCUCUCUCUCUCUCUCUCUCUCUCUCUCUCUCUCUCUCUGUGUGUGUGUGUGUGUGUGUGUGUGUGUGUGUGUGUGUGUGUGUUUCUAUUUGCUUAUAGUAAGACUCUUUUAGGGAGUGUGUGUAUGUGUUUCUAUUUGCUUAUAGUAAGACUCUUUUAGGGAGGACUUUUGUUUUGAAUCGUAUGUCCCAGCAUUAUAAGAAGUACUCUUUGGGCUGGUGAGAUGGCUCAGUGGGUAAGAGCACCCGACUGCUCUUCUGAAGGUCUGGAGUUCAAAUCCCAGCAACCACAUGGUGGCUCACAACCAUCCGUAACGAGAUCUGACUCCCUCUUCUGGAGUGUCUGAAGACAGCUACAGUGUACUUACAUAUAACCAAUAAAUAAAUCUUUAAAAAAAAAAAAAAAAAAAAAGUACUCUUUAAGGACUUGUUGAUUAGACAGGCUAGUGAGGAAAGGCAAAAUGACUGACUUCUGCCCAGAGUAGAAACCAGAGGUCCUGGGUGUGGGGAGUUGGGGUAAUGUCUUCAUAGACUCUAACUCAAAGUUUCCAAGGGCUAUUUGGAUGUUUAACCAAUUUGCAAAGGGGGGGGGGGGUUGUCUUUGUGCCACAAAACAUAUAGCUCUAAAGCUGUUCCAGUUUCCAAGUGAGUCCAUGCUAAAUGAUUCUCAAUCCUACCAACAGCACUGUGGCUUCUUUUCCUUCCUUUGUUAAUGAGGAGGGAGGAGUUACAGAAGGAGGGAAGGAAUGUAGCCUGGGAUGCAGCAGGCUCAGGCCAGGGUCAAGAGCGGAAUGAAGAGCGGAAUGAAAUAUGUAUCUCUUUAGGUUUGAUCAAUAGAUCCAGAUAGUAUAUUGAGUCAGCCUAGGGCUGGGUCAAAGAAGUAUAUGGGUAUGCUUUAGACAUGCAAAUCAAUUGAGUUCUGAUUCCUCAUAUACUCAUUUAAAUGGCACUUUUGUGUCAUUAGUGUAGGCUAUUGUACAAGCUUUGAACAAGCAAGAACUCUAUUAACCAUAAAAACAGACUUUGCUUUUGGGACUGUUUUGCUCAACCAAAAUCAGCCCAUUUGUGUUAGUAAUAAAAAUACUUAAAACAACAACCAAAAAAAAAAAACAAAACAAAACAAACCACACAAGUGCGAUCAAUUCCCAGAAGAACCAAGCCACAUAUAGCCCCAUCUCUGCCCAACUGUGUGAUAUUCCAGAUUUGAGCUGUCCUGGCUGACCAUGUAGGUGCUCUACUGACAGGGCCUCCAGGCUGGGAACAUGUUUACCCCAGUGUGAGGCUGGCCAGGAUGCAGAGCUGGUCCACAUGGGAUGAAGACAUCAAAGCUGAUUCUGAACCAAUUAGAAGAAGAUACCAUUGUCCUCUAAUUCCCAAAGUUCUUAGGCUGUUACCAACACUUAUCAUGUUUCCUUGGGGAUGGCUGUGGCAUUGCCUCAGAUCUAAAGCUCAUUGAUAUGCACACAUAAUGACUGGACUCCAGUCUCUCUGACACUUAGAGCCAGGGAAGCUUGGGAACCACUGACUGCAUUUCCACUCAGCAAAAGGACCUUUUCAGGAUUUGCACAGUGGCUGUAAAUGCUAUUUUUUUCCCUCAGUUGGUCUUAAAUGACUGUUAGUCUCUUGUGUCUUAGAAAAAAGAAUGUGAACACUUUAUUGGGAAAAAAAUUUAUAACAGUUUCCAUUUAUAGUACUUCAGAGAGUGAGCAUGGGAAAUAGCUUAAGAUGGUAAUUUUAGCUAUUAGUCCUGGCUGAGGAAUUCCCAGAGACACUUAUCUGUCUGUGUUCAGUCACAUUUUUCUGCCCUCCCCAGCACCUACUUCUAUCGUUCCAUGAUAUUUCUUCAUCCAAUGUUGUUCCUAAAGUCCACCUGCCCUUGAUGUGUGAAGACAAUUGUCACAGUUGCCAUCUGAGGGUGAUGAGAUUUUCUUUAUAACCUCCCAGGUUUUGCUUCUUCCCCUAUCAGAUAGAAGAAUCCCAUUUGUAAAUUUUAAAAAGUCUUUUCCUAGCCGGGCGUGGUGGCGCACGCCUUUAAUCCCAGCACUCGGGAGGCAGAGGCAGGCGGAUUUCUGAGUUCGAGGCCAGCCUGGUCUACAAAGUGAGCUCCAGGACAGCCAGGGCUAUACAGAGAAACCCUGUCUCGAAAAACCAAAAAACCCAAAAAAAAAAAAAAAAAAAAAAAAAAAAGUCUUUUCCUGAAGUAAAGUGAACUGGCAUAGUCUGAAGGAAUUAGAUGUCAUCUUGGCAGCAGACAUAUUUGCCUUCACUGCUCUGUGGCAAGGGAACCGAUAGCUCUAGCUGCCAUCUUGAAAAUGCAAAUUAUUCAUGGAAUUGUGAGAGGAAGGAUCACCUUCCUCUUGAGUGGGGAUCCAGCCCCAGUCUGGAAGGACACAUGUCCUCACUCAUUGUCUUCCUCUCCUCAAGCAUUGGCUGACUGAAGUUUAAGUGCCACUAAGUUUCUCUUAAUACUUCUCUUUAAUGGUUUUUAAACUCCAUUCUUGUUCUUAGCAAUAUCAUCCCUAAAGUUAUGAGCUUGUGGACUUGUUAUAUCUUUAUUACUAUUUAAAACACACAGAUGUUAAUCUAAAUACUUCUAAGUUUCCAGCACUAUACAGAGUCAUAUUUCUUCAGUAAUUUCAUGCAAGUGCUUUUACAAAAACAAUAAAUUUAAAAUAACUUUGAAAGAAUAAGGUCUUCAUUUAGUAUAAUCACAGACUAUCAACCCCAUUCAGAUUCCAGAAGUGCAGGAAUAUGCAGGAGUCUCUUGGGGUAAUAGCACACUUAGAAGCACUUUUGAAGUUAGAACUAAAUAAAGGCCAGAAUGGAAUUGUUAGAAUACUUAUACUGAGGCUGGAGAGCUGGCUCAUUGACUAAGAGCGCUAGCUGCUCUUCCAGAUGAUUCAGAUUCUAUGUCCAGUGCUCACAGUCUCUAGCUCCAGUUCCAGGGGAUCAGACACUGUCUUCUGGCCCCCAAAACACCCACAUACAUAAAAUAAACUUUAAGAAGAACAUUCAUAUUACUUAAGAUGUUUGGAUGAGAUGGAAGAUUUGUUUUCUGGUAGUGCAGGAGGUGGAACCCAGAGCUGUGUGCAUGCUAGACGGACACUCUGCUGCUGAGCUAGAGGUUUGUUGAGUUCAGUAAUCUGUCUUCCACUUCCACUGUUCUACUAAAUGUGCUUGGUUCUCUCUUGUUCUCACCCUUUUUAAAAUGCAAGUAAAUUUAAUAGCCAACACUUUAGCCCAGAUAUCUUUGAUGGUACCUUUUAUAACCUGCUACCUCAAGCAGAGACUAGAAUCUCGCCUUGCCAAUUGGUAUAAGUGUAUGAGCCUAAUCCUAUCUUUAGGGCUGUAUUAAACAUGACUUCCUUAUGUCUCUAUUGAUUUUUGUGAUAAUAUUCUCACUAUAAAACAUCAAAACAACAAUGGGAGAGAAAAUAUGAGCCUACUACCAGAGCAGCACCCAAAUUUUAGCAGUAUUUGACCUUCCUAUCUUUAAAAUAAAAAUUUAAGAUUAUAAUAAUUAAAAAAAUAAGCAUGAUCUAAAAUUUAGCAGUGUGGACCAGUGAAGGAGGAACCUCAGUGGUGUCCAGCAUCCCUACACUGUAGUGAAGCAGCUAUCCAGAGCUCCACCUUACAGAUCUCAACCUCUGACUAUUAAUGGAUAAUGACUCCCCUCCACCUUGUCCUGAUAGCCAGGGUUCUGCUCUUUGAUACUUUGUGUUUUACUACUUUGGACACCUAAUAGAAGUGGACUUAUGUAGAACCUGUCUUCUAUGCCUGGCGGAUGUUACUUGGCAUAAUGACCUCAAGGUUCGUUAUUAUGUUGUGUUGUUAUGUUCAAGUUCUGUAAUAGCAUGUGACAAGCGUUCCUUCCUUUCUGUAGCCGCGCUGUGUUGCGUUGAGUGUGCAGACCAUUCUGCUGUGCUUGCACUCGUGAACGUUUGGAUUACUUCUACCCCUUGGCUAUAGCAAAUAAUCCUAUACAUGGGUAUCCAAUACCUGUGCUUUCAGGUUUUGGAUAUGUACCCAGUGGGUUUGCUAAGUCCUAGAGUGUUUAUAUCUUGAAUGUUUUAAGGAUUUGCCAUUCUGUUUCUCAGGCAGUUGUUUCCAGUCCCAGUAAGUCACCAGUGUUCCCACAUCCCUUUCAACAUUUUAGUUUCUCUUUGGUUUGCUUAUAGUAGCCAUCCUGAUUGUUUGCUGUGAUAGCUCGCUGAAUAUCCUAUAGAAUCUUAUAUUGAUGAUUUUGACCUAUGAUGACACAUGUUUAUUUUAAGUUGAAAUAUAAUAAAUUAACAAAUACAAGGGUUACACCUAAUCCACUGAUAAUCCUGGCUUAGCAUAGUGCACUAAGUGUCUCAGUUGUUCAGCUUUGUGGUUGCAUGGCUGCCCGGGGAGCUAUGUAUAGCUGACACUGUAUAGUAUCAUAAGGCAGCUAGCCUGGGGCUGGGGAACACAAAAGAGGUAUCUGUGAAUAUGUAUUGCUUUGCUCUGUUGUGAACUCCAAGAACCGGUAAAUGAGCUGUUGUAAGUCAAAGACCGCCUGAGUUAGCGGAGAAAGGUGAAGGUCACCCACGUCCUUAGUUCUUAAUCUUUCACUCGUUCUAGGAAAUUGACACAAGACAGACAAGAAAAAUCAUUUAAAUGUUGUUUCAUGUGACCCUGGGGACCUUCAUAAUGGAGUGAAAACUCAAAAGCAAAGUAUAAAGCUUCUAUACCAUUUGGAUAGAAGUUGGGUAGAAAUGGUGAGCCCUCUGAUCUGGGUGAGGGGCAGACAGUUGUAGGAAAGGAAGAGACUGGAAGGACAUGAAGCUGGGAGGAGGAGGAGGAGGUGGGGGCUAUGUUAGAAGGGUUGUUUUAUUUAUAUGGCCCCAUUGCACACCAACUCACAGUCCCUGGUGGCAAGAAUUGCUUUUUCUCAUGGGUGCCAGAGAGGUAGCUUCCUCAUGGAAGUGUUUGCAGCUUGGGGCAGGAGAGCAAGGGCAGUUCUGAGUUCUUUCGACACCUGGCCUUUACAAGCUCCUUCAGCUUGCAUUGGUCCACCUGCCACAUUAAGCACAUUUUAGGAGAGUGUGCUGAUUCCUUCCUUUCCUGUAUAGCACAUGCUUUUAAAAUACAGACACAUCUUGUCCUGUGUGCCUUUUUUUUUUCCUUUUUAGUAGUAAAAUGGCCUUUCUCCACGGUUUCAUUUUAUAAAAGGCUGAUAGAUAUUGUAACUUUCACAGAUAUUGUAACUCUUAGAAGGAACAAUAAGAUAGGUUGUAGCAGAAGAUUAGGUUGGUGGGUGUUUUUUGUUUUUUGUUUUUGUUUGCUUACUGGGUUAAGACCUGGUACUUUUUAACCACUUGUAUCUUGGCUCCAUUUGGGAUUAUUUUUAAACUCUUCUUGUUUUGAUAAUGAGGAAUUUGUAUCACCUCAGUAAUUUUUUUUUCUAAUUUCCUUUUUCUCUCUCUGAGUUUACAAAGACAAAAACAACCAUUAACAUCCAGCUGCUCAUUUGAUGGUCCUUUUUAGAUAUAUUUAGUGUUAACUUGUCUAACAAGGAAAGGACAUUCUAAGAUGUUCAUGGCAGCAGAGAGAUCAUCUGGGAUACAGAAUCAGCGUCCAGUGUAUCGUUCGAAGGAUUAAUUCCCUGCAGUUGGGGAGUGCCUUCAGGGGUGGGCCAUUUAUCUCAGUUUAUUCUGAGGAAGCUGUUCCAUGUCAAAUAAUUGGGAUUAGUGUAAGACUGGAAAUAGUCUAUAAGUAUGGGGUCUAUAGUCAACUCUAAGCACCACCUGGAAGCUCCUUGGAUUUAAAUUUUAAAAUGGGGCAGGAGAACUCUUCUGUUCUGUUGCAACCCAUCUCCCCAACUCCUGCACUAAGGGAGUGGUUUCUGCCACCACACAGAAGCCUGGGUGUAAUGAGAAGGGCUUUAGAAAUGCGGCAGAGGGUCAUUCUUCAUUGUCAUCUCCCUGUGGGCUUAUGAGUGCCUCAACCACCUCCUCCCCCUCGCUGAAAACAUGACCAUGAAGACUAAUGAGGCACUGGAAGAGCGGCAUACUGACUGGGCUCUGUUUGUCCGUCUGAUGCAGUGUUUUCAGGCCUGACUUAAAAUAUUCAGAAAACAUGGGAGGAACACCACUAUUGCAAAUCUUCUAUUAUUCUUGCACUGAAGAAAAUCUUGAAGAGUGUCUCUAUCUCUGAUUUAUUCUCCUUAAGUAAAGGGGUAUCUUCAGGUAUUAGAGUUGAUACUGGUGGAGAGGCUGAAAAAUAGAUAAUAAAACAGUACCAAAAUGAAAGUGACUCUAGUCUAGAUGAUGACUAGACAUGAUAAAAUAAAUUUUGUCAUUUGUUUGAAAAUUGUAAUAAUAUAAUGUUAGGAAAAAUGAAUUGAAGUAUUUGUACAUAAAGUGUUUGGAAGUUUAUAAAAGACUUCUAAUGGACCUGGAGUUCCAUAUACCACCCUUGACUCCAUUGUUUCUUCAUUUUGUUCAAGCUCUGUCUUCUUUAUGCUUACUCAUUCCAUUUUGAGCACUUCUGCAGGACAUAUUUUAGGUGAUAGCGAUGAACUAAUGAACAAGGGGCCCUCUGUAGAGUGCAGAUUUGUCUUCUCUUCUAGGGAAACCGGGGACAAAGAAAGGAUAGCAAGAUGUUUCAUAGAAGGGAAGGAAACAUGGAAGUAAGAAAUGAUGUAUAAAGACCUCUCUAAGGAAGGGACGUUUGAGCCAAGAGCUGCAUAAGUAGAGGAAGCAGCCAUGCCAACAUGGAAGGAGGAAGAUUACAGGUGGAGCCAGCUGCUGUGAGAAAAUGGUUUGAAGAGAGGUGAGGGAGAUAACCUGAUGCUCACAUGGCGGGCUCUGGAAAGCUGCAGUUGUAAGAGAUUCUGUGGGACAGAUUUGUGAGUUCACUCAUAUUGCAAGCGAUGGAAAGGAUCUCCAUGUCAGGUAGUGCUUUGGAGCUCUGGCUUGCAAAGAGAAGCUGGGUAGAUUGUAUAGAAAGCUGUCUCCAGAAAAUUUUAGGAAAGAACUCCACUGGUUGAUGAGGAUCCGUUGAUCAUUGCUAGUUAACAAAUCUCCUCACCUCCAUUGUAUUGCUGCAUACAUUUUUAAAAAUUGCCUUUUGUUAAAACCGGAUGAUAUGAAUACACACCACACUUAUCAGAAGACAGAUCAAUUUCAUCAUCACUCCAAAAAGCUCCCUCUAAGCUUUCUAGUCAUGCUCUUCCCAACCCCUGGUAACCAUGGGUCUGUCUCCAUCAUGACAGAUCUGCCUUUUGGAAAUAUCAUAUAAAUGGAAUUAAGCUACAUUUAAGGUUUUGAGCUUUCUCUCAGAAUAAUGUCUUUGAAUAUAGUUUUUGGCCUCCAAGGGGACAUGGAGAGAAUAAGGGUUAAAAGGCUUUUGUUUUGCUGGAAGAGAGUAGAAAGGGAUAAAUAGUGUCCAAAUGGUGAGGGAUGGGGAGAACCAAGAACAGGCAGAGAGGGUCUAGAAGCAGGCCCUGGAAGGAGCAUGUGUGUGUGAAGCAGGGUGAGGCCCUGAUAGUAUUUUCUGCCUUAAGUGUGCAGCAUAAAUCUCCUUUAUUUUUCUUCCAAGAAACCUUCAGUGCAGUAGGUUGUGAUGUUGAAUUUAUUUGGAAGGUGUGUUGAUUUUGCUCCAAGGAGCAUGAAGGGUAGAUACAGAAGCUACCAGUGGACCCAGGUACAAAAGCAAACUGCAUGGAGAUACCUUUUAGCUUAGCAGCAAAAGAAACAAUAGCAUAAGAGGAGCCUAGAUGCCUCCCAGGGCUGGAGCUUAGGACCCAGCCAAGCAACAAGAGGUACAGGACCCAUGAGAUAAAGUCCAGCCCUGUGCCAAGAUAAAGCAGAGAGCUCCACUGAGCUCUCUGAAAGAAAGGGAGGAAUUCCUGGAAGAAAGGGAGGAAUCCCUGCAAGUCUGGCAUCUUGUGCACGUGUGACAGCAUCAAAGGGCAAGGCAGUAAGCCUUUAUCUAUCAAUUGUCACCAGCUUCCCUAUGACAAAAAUGUGCAGAAUAGCUCUGUAAGCUCAGAGCCUGGUGUGGUCUUUUCAUAAUGACUGCCCAUUCCUGCAUCUUCACUAGUAAAAGACCUGCAGUAUAAUGGAAACGGGGGAAAGGAAGAGCCACCUUGCAUUCCUGCCAGCAAGGCUACAUGACCAUGUUGCACUGUCACAGAAGCAAAGCACACACUGGGUCCUGCUGCAUAAUGAUGAAUCCCCAGAGUCCCCAGAUAGUGAUCGAUAGUGACGCCCAGCUCAGGAUCUCGAAUAAUGAGCUACUCAGUCCUGCUAGAGUCACCAGCCAGCCUCUGAGAAAGCUCCCCUCCCCCACUGUCCACUCAUACAACAGACACUCCCCUCCCCAACCUCCCCCUCAGUUGGAUUUCACUUUGAUUGGCAGAGGCCCUGUUAUUUCCGCCUGGAUUGCCUGACAACCCCCCUCCUCCUGGUCUAAUUAUGCUGGGUCUAUUCUUGGUCCACUAUGACCCCAGGAAGGCUUUAUCAGAUUGUCCAACUGACCGUGACCAGAUCUCCAGCACCUGCCUCCCUUGCUGAUUGAGAGUGGAAGGUGUUUAUACACAGAGAACUGGUAUCUGAUUGACUGGCCUAGGUCCUGGGCUGAGGACUACCCGUCUGAGUGUCAGUGAUGAAAAAUGGAGUGUGCCUCUCCACCGAGCCUCAUUAACACCCCUCUGGGUCCAGACAGUAUCAAGUGGGGUGUGCACAAACACAGAGCCUGCUGCCAUUGUUCAGGACCUCUGGGGACAGGCUUUCAGCUGCAGCAGCGUGGCCUGGGUCCUUCACACCAUUUCAUUGUCCUCCCUCUGCUCUCUCCACCUUUGUUGUUUAUUACCCAUGACGCUUUCCAAGUUGCUUCUUUCUGAGUGGGACUUUACCUGUUCUCCACCCUCACAUUUCCUCCCAUUGCUAGUUUACACGGAAGCAAAUCAAUAAUUACUGUCUGGGCGUGGCUUACAAAUAUCUUUCCCAUUCCAUUUCUGAAUAGAAUCUUUGGUACUGCCUACCUUUUCUGGGUACCUAAUGGUGAUUCUGGUUAUCUAUGCAAGUGUUCUAUAAGGCAGCUCAGGUGCUGGAGCCAAUCUCCUAGUCAGUGUGUCAAAUGGCUGAUUUUGAUAGGAGUAUUAAAUCAUCCAUGCUCUUACAGGCUCUGUUUAGGUCCCUUAUUAAUUGGUCACUAGUGUCCUGAGAUGCUAAGAGUCUCCCAAAAGCUGAGCAAUGCUCUCCUAGAUAGUGGCAGUGUCCCAGGUUUUGUUGUUUUUUGUUUGUUAGUUUAACCUCAGCAUUGAUGAGCUGAACCCAGAUGUCCUUUCUGUCUAAGAAGUUGUAGCUUAGGUCUGACAUCUCAGAACAUGGACUCUGUUCUGAAGCAUCAGUGUUAGCUAGGAGUUUGUUGGAAGUACAGACCCUUAACCCCUGCCUCACUCUCCAUAGCAGAACCUACACGGAGACAACAGCACAUGGGUUCAAGUGUGUGGUGCUGUUUGAGAGGGUCUGUCAGACUGUAAAUCCAGGCAAGAAAGGUCCUUGUAGAAUUACUAAGAAGUAGAACUUAACCAGCUUAUUUGAACAGACCUGGCCAGUGAAGGGUUCUCCCUCCUGGCUUCUGAAGGGACUUAGAGACAAAGAAACUAGUUGGUAAUAUGGCUGAGCAGGAACCAAGUGUGAUCUCCAGCCUUUGGGCUAUCUUUCCCAACAGCUGCUCCUCAUUUUUGAAGAUUUUUUUUUUCCUGUUGAAAACUACCUGGCAUGGAAAAAAGAAAAAGACUUUAUUCUCAGUGGCCAUCUUGUGGUGAUGCCUUCUAGGUUGGCUGCCUCUGUUAAAAUUUUUUGUCUUGACUUGUGUUCUAAAUUACUACUGUAUGCCUUUGAAGCUUUUAUGAAUGAGAUGGUUUUUACACACACAUACACACACACACACACACACACACACACACACCAUUGGUUCUAUAUAUGUUAAAUGGGCAUGUGCCCUGAUUUAA